UUUUUUUGGAAAAGCUUAUCAUCGUUACAAAUACAUAGUCUUAUGCAAAUUUAUACUAUAUAGUGGCAAGAUAGAUAAUACACAACACCGGAAACUGCUGCCCUCUAUGUAUGCCUUUUUUUAAUAUCAACGCAACAUUAUUUUUAUUCAUGAAAUAUAUUACUAAGAAAGAGUGUAUGGUGCAUGAUGAUAUCAUUACGAUUAGUUUCGAGUUUCGUCCUCAGUUUCCACGGCACCAUGACCACCGUGACCACGUCUACCGUGGUUGUGACCACCUCCACCACCAUUGUAACCCUCUCCGCCAUGGUUGUAAACAUGUCCACCUUUUUCAUGAACAUCACCAUCACCGUUGUUAGAAUCAUCACCGUUGUUAGAAUCACCACCGUUGUUAGAACCACCAACAUAGCCUCCAUCUUUGCCAUAAUUUAAGUCAGUCUGUUCAACACUAUCUGAAAAAACAAUAUAUAUUAAUCAUUAUAUCAUUAGAUAAUUAAAAAGGUUUGCUAAAUUAGAUAUAAAAAAAAUAUGGUCCAAGUUAGCAAAUAUGCACAUUUUUAUUUGGACAAAAAUAUCCUUCAUUUUUAUUAUUAAAAACUAAUAGUUUGAGGGUUACUUUAAUAUUUUUAUUUAAAACAUAUUUGUUACCCGACACCAAUUGCUAACUUAGACCCACUUUUAUUUUAUUACAAAUAAAUUAAGGGUCACUUUAGUACUUUUCAUUAAAACAUAUAUUUGUUAACUUGCAUCAAUUUGCUAACUUAGACCCACCUUUAUUUUAUAACAAAUAGCUUGAAGGAUAUUUAAUAUACUAUCACUUACAUUAAUUUAGUUUACACUAGUGGAUAUUUGCUAACUUGGAUCAAAUUGCACCGAUGUGAUAUAAUAUUUGAAUAAUUUACACUGCUUAAAAACUUCUUAUUGAAUAUAGAAUUAUAGCAAAAAAAAAUUUAAUAAAGAAUUAUAGCAAAUUUUAUAAGACUCACAAUUGAAUAUAUAAUUAUAUCAUAUGGAUCAUCUCUGUAAGUUAUAUAUGAAGCAAAUUUGAAAUCGUUUUUUAUAUAACAUUGAAGUGCAUGAAGAUUAACGUUUACAUAGAAAUGAAUUAAUUAAAAUGUAUAAAAUACAUAAUUAAGUAUAAAAGAAUUAUCCUUUAAAAAAGUAGAAAUGAAUUAAAAACAUAUGUCUAAAACGCUCACCCCAAUUAGGAUCCGUGGAAGUUUCGGAUAUCACUGAGGAAAUAAGAACCAUAGCCAAGAGGCCUAGCAUAAGGAUUGCCUUUUUUGAAACCAUUGUUCAAUAUCUGUUCAAAUUUGAUAUUUGGUAGUGAACGAUGAGAAAAGUAGCAAGAAGUGUGCUCUAUAUAUAAUGGAGGGAAGGAGUGAGAUGAUGUAGGGACAUUCACUUGCUAGUUGAGAAGGUAGCUAGUGUGUAAUAAUUCAUUGCUUUUUAGUUUCAUAAUGUACAUGGUCUAUAAUAUCGACCAGAUACAUCUUUUAUGCAAUUAAUCUAAAAAAUAAAAUUUUAUGUAUAAUAAUAAUCGGAUGAUGUAUAUAUUUAUAAAUUUUUAACUAAAAUAAUUGUUUGAUGAUUUUAAUAUCAUUUGUUUUGACUACUUCCUUUCUUUCAAAAUAAGUGAUCUAGUUGAUUGUUUUAAGCAAUUUAUAUAUGUAUAAACAAAAAAAUAUAUAAAAUUUGAUUUUUAAAAAUAUUUGUUGAAACAAAUCUAAAAAUAUCUUAUAUACUGAUAUUUCUCUUUAUAUGGUAGUAGAAAAAGAUUAUCAAAUAUAUUAUGUGAAUUGUGAAUAAUAGAGAAUCACUUAUUUCAUAAUAGAGAGAGUUGUAAAGACCAAAGGCUAUGAAAAAUUGAAAAUGGUGAUGAGGUAUGGCUACUUUCUAUUGGCUGAAAGUGACAUUUUGAAAGCAUACUAUUGGUUCAUACUAGCUAUCUCAUCCCAUGGAGAUACAUGCAUUCAACUUUAUCCAGACACAUUCAUAAUAUGUUUUCUAUAAGUAAUUUUAUUUUUUUUAGCAAAAGAGUAUUACGGAGGUACACUCUAUACUUGAACAUUCACUUAUUAUAUGUUUUCUAUAAUAAUUAAUAAGUGAACUCUAACCAAUAAACUCUACUUGAACAAAAACAAAAAACAUUUUCCUUAAUCAUAUUAUCUCCAUCAAUCUCAUUUUAUUAUUCGCCACUUUGAAUAUACUAUAUACAGAUACACUAAUAUUAUAGCCAUUCUCUAAAGGCUAAUUAUUUCUAUUCUUUUGGUGUUUUUAAGUAAAUUAGCUUUCGUGCUAGUAGCAUUCCAUUUAGCAUGUAAGUAAUUAUACCGGUGUAUGAGAACAAUUUCGUUUUUGACACUAUGCAUAUCUUGCGGUAUUAUGCUUUAAAAAUUUGCUUACAAAAAAAUAUUAAUAGCUAAUAAUGAUAUUUAUUAAAACCGAUAUUCUACUUUUUUUUUCAUUUCUCAUGUAUUUUUUUUAAUUUUCGUGAAAUCAUCAAAAAAAUAUGCUUUAAUUUGUGGGACAAAAAGAGCACUAGAUGAAAAAUAGGUUUUUGCAGCGUCCAAAAGCCUCCUCAAAAAACCUCCCUGAAAUAGGUUCAAGUUCAACCAUCCCGCUUUUAAACCUCCUCAAGCGUUUGCAUUUUUUUUAUGUUUUCAUAAUUAGUGUGAAAAAUAUAAAAAUAAUAAAUUUAAUAAAAAUUAGAUAUAUUAAAACAAAAAUUGUAGUAAGAGAGAAUUAAAAAACAACUUAAAAAUAAAAAAUGGUAAAACAAAUAUUUUAUAGUAAUUUAAAAUUAAAUAUAGAUUAAAUUUAAAAAGGGUUAAAUAUGUUUUUAAUCUCUACAAUAUCACAGAAUUUCUAGUUUAGUUCCUACUCCCUCCGUCCUAAUUUAUAAACAAAAAACACAAAUUCACACUUAUUAAGAAAACAAAAACAUAGUAGUUUGAGAUAUAAUUUUUUGUGUUUUUAUUGGAAUAAGUUUCAUGGAAAAAAAAUUGUGUAGAUUAAAUUUUUUGUGCCUUUAGAUGAAAAAAAAAUAUUGGAUGAUGAUUAAAAUAAAUUAGUUAGAUGAGAUGAGAGAGAAUGAAUGAGCCAUAGGUCAGACUCCCCUAACCAAGAACAAUGCCCAAAAGAGACAAAGCCAUCAUAGACCCGUACCUAGCAUAAAGGACAUCCCACCACAUAAUCAGGCUCUCCAAAAUAAUCAUCCAACAUUACUUACAAGCAUACUUAUAAAAUUCAAAAGAGGAAAAAAUACAAAAUACUUAUAAAUAAAUUCUCAUGAAUAAAGAAAAAUGAAAAAUAUUAUAUAGUUCACCCGUUUUGGUAUUAGAGGAAGUCUCAGUUAAGACCCUCGCUGAAACCCUAGAGGAAAUAAGAACCAUAGCAAAUAGGCCUAGAAUGAGGAUUGCUUUUUUUUGAAUCCAUUGUACUCAAGAGUAUAAAUAAACUACACAAAUCGGUAUUACAAAAGGGAUAUUUGGUAGUGAACAAUAAAAGAGAAUGUGCUCUAUAUGUAGUGGAGGUUGGGAGAUCAAUACUUGGUAGUUGGGAAGGUGGAAUAGUGCUCUAUAUUAAUUCAUUCUUAUCUUCAAAUUCAGAACUGUUUGUUUGUUAGUAAUUUUGAAACCAUUCAUUUUGAGUAUUAAGAAUCGGAGGCUACUUAAUUCGUUGAAAAAAUGAAGCAGUUAUUGUCUAUGCCAAGCCUACUUAAUUCGUUGAAAAUAACAGUAUUGAAAGUAUUGAAAAUAACAGUAUUGAAAAUAACAGUAUCAACCACAUACAUCAUUAAAUAAAUAAACCUAAAAAAUGAAUUUUGUUUAUAUUUUGAUACGGAGUGAGUACUUUUAAUUUUGAAACCAUUCAUUUUGAUAUUUGAGUGGUGAAGGUACAUUCCGAAUAAACACUCUAAACUCUAAACUUUUUUAUAACUUCAACAAAUGAUCUAUCUAUCACUCAAAUUAAAUUUUUAAGGGGUUCUAAAUUGACUAGUUUAAGUGUGAAGAACAAGAAACAUAUGAAUAUGCAAACUAAAAUGCAACAACAUAUUGAACAAGACUUUAAGCUCGGACAUGAGUAAAAAAUACACAACUAAAGGGUUCAAACUCACAUAUUUACUAGGUUAUUGUGAAUUUGGACUCAAAUCUUAAAAAAAAAAAAAAAUAGAUGUGAAGAGCAUAUAUCAAUGACAACCAACAAUCAAACAUUCUCAAGUUACACAACAUAUUUAAAUAUGUGUAAAGUAAAGCCACAAUCAAAGCAUGGAAUAAAGAUAAAAGAGAAGAGAAAUCAACAUAGGAAUACUAUUGUUUACCCAAUUUGCAUUGGUCCAAGAAUGAGCCACAUUUUGGGGAGAGAAAAUAUCUUCAAUCCACUAUCAAUGAUUCAUUGGAAAGAGAUACAGAGAGUUACAUGAAAUUAACUUCAACAAGAUCUUCGAGAGCAAACUUAAUUUCUACUAUUUUUCUACGUACACUCUUCCCUUGAACAAGAGAGUUACCAAGUGACCAAAAAAUUUAGCUUCCAAUGUUUUCCAAAAACAUCCCCUAAGAGGAGAUUAGUUUAUGAAUACGUUAUUUAAUUAUUCCAAUGUUUAUGAAUACGUUAUUUAAUUAUUAACUCUUGAAAGGAAGUCUCAAGUCACAACAAUUCGGGCACACCAUUUCGAAAUACACAUAUUCAUAAAAAGAUAGAAAGAGAAAAUAAUUAAAUAACGUAUACUUUUAAAAUAAUUAAGUAUUUCUUUGUGUUCAGUAUACAUCUCAACCAACACCUAUUGAUUCUUGUAUAAAUAAAAAUGGUGUCUAAGCCUAUCGCACAACGGACCCCUCUCAAACUAAUCACCCAACCAAAAUAGUGUCUUAGCUCCAUUGUCCACCACCCUCACCAAAUUGUCCUAGUAUCCUCGCAACCCACCGUUCAUAUUAACUAUGAGUAGUGAUAUAUGUACAACUCUUUGGUACAACUUUCAUGACAACUUUGGUUUUCUCUCUUUUGAUUGGUCAAAAAUACUAGAGAGAGAAAAAGGAAGAGAGAUAAUAAGAAGAUAAUGUGAGUAUGUGAGAGAAAGUUGUCAAAAAAUUGUUAGAAAAUGGUUGUACAAAUAUCAUUUCUCAUUAACUAUUAUUCAUCAAACUACAUGUUAUUUCUAAGAAAAAAUAAAAAAAUUAGUUUUUAUAUAUAUCUUUUAUUUGGCCAAUUAGCCUAAUGAAUAAAAUUCCACCCUAUUAAAAUGAAAAAAUGGAGAAGGUAGGAAAUUCAACCCCUAUAUAUAUAAUAUAAUAUCCAUGCCAACUGAAUAUGAAAGUCUUUUGCCAAUAUAUAUAUAAAUUAAUAUUCAACUACCUAACAUGUAUGAUUUCUCGAUAAAACAAUAUAUUAACAAAAUAUUAUAGUUUAUUUCAUUUAUUCUUGAUGAUGAGAAAUCAAUAAUAACAUUUUUAUUUAUUUAUAGAGAUAAUAUAAUAUCUCUAAACUAACAUAUAACUUAUUAAUUCAUCUUAAAUUUUAACUUAAAAUACAAUUCAUCAAUCUCAUUAAUAUUAUAGCAUGAGUCAUUAUACUAGUUUUUUUUUUUUUUUUAGUAAAGGUCAUUAUUGUGUAACCAAAAAAUAAAAGAAAAUAUUCUAUAUUAAAAUUUCAGAGCUGCCGUUCCUGUCACAAUUAAUUAAUUUUUCUUUUUAUAUUUUGAUAAUUUCAGAACUCCUUAAGUUCAAAUUGACAGCGAUGAACGAUAAUGAAAGACGCCCACUUAUUUUGAAUUUUUCAUACAAAUGUGUGGCUAGACGUGGCCAUAUAAUUUGUAUUCAUGCGUACCCAUCCGAACCCCGUUUCGAAUAUGAUUUGGACAACUUGAAUUGGAGCUAGACUUGGUUAAACAUAACCAUAAAUCUUUUAUCUAGAUACACACUCAUUAAUAACAAAAAGUAAAGGAGGAAAAAAUAAAUUUUAUUAUUAUUGAAAUUAAUGAAUAAAGUGUCGUGACGGAUUCAGAAAUGUUGACUUGUGGAAACAAAACUUUAUAUAAUACUCCCUCCGGUCCUAUUUACAAGAGAAAUUUGACUUUUUAAAUACAUUGAAUAAUGUAUGUAUCUAGUCAAGAACCUAAUCCAAAUACAUAAAUUAUUUAAUGUAUCUAAAAAGUAAAUUGUUUCUUAUAAAUAGGACCAGAGGGAGUAAAUAUUUAAAGAAAAUUUUUAAUAAUGCAAAAGUGAUAUAAUAAUAACAUCAUUAUCAUUGAGAAAAAUGCUCAAUAUUUAGAAAAAUUAAAGACUCGUCAACAUCUACAAAUUAAAAUUGUUUUUACGUGUCUUUAUAUUCAAAAAAUAUGGUAGAAAUUAAAUUUCAUCUCAAAUGCAUUUACGCAUUCGAUUUUAUGAAAUUCAUGAACAAAACUUUUUUUUAUGGUAUAAAUUUUAAUUUAAUUGAGGCAAUCUAUUAUUUUAAGAGAGAGCAACCAUUAAAAUAUAAAAAAUUUAACAAAUAUAACCAGAAGAGUAGUGGGGGCAGUUUCCCCCAUACCACUCUACCUAGAAUCGUGGUUGAUGAUGUGAUUGUUAAUGUGGUGUGCCUAAAUGCAAAAUAUUUAUUUUUGUUAUCAAGUAAGUAUUGACUCGGUUCGUAUUUUUUACGAUUUCAAAAGACGGUUGUGGCCUCGCCCGUAUCAAAAUUAUAUUAUUACCUCUCUUAAAUUAUAAACUCAUAAACAAAUUCCUAAAUUACAUUCAUACAUUAACUUUUAUUUUUAAGCUCAACCUUAAACAAGUCAUUUCCUCUACUUUUUUUUUUUAGAAAACCAUAUUGUUGAAACAACAUAGUUUUGAGCUUUUUUACUUAUUCUUAAUAGAAAAAAAGAUCAAAUGCCACUUUUGAUCCUUUUAGUUUAACAGAAUUCUCAAGUUAGUCCUUUAAAUUUCGAAAGUUUCAAUUAGGUUCUUUUGGUUUGACAUAAUUCUCAAGUUAGUCCUUUAAGUUUCAAAUAGGUCCUUUUAGUUGAUAAAUUAUUUCACUGUUACCGCUGCUGUCAGUCUCUGUUUAACUAAUGUUAAUGUAGCUGUAAGUUGUUGACUUGAAUCGAAAUGCUGCCUUUUAAUAGCUCGAGGGUGCAUGUCUAAACGCUACGUUUAAUGGUCACAAAUGAUCAUUUAUAGUGCUAAUAAGACAGCUAUUUACAACAAUAAAUGUCUUUCUAGCACUAUUAAACGACAUUUAUAAUACUAGAAUGAUCAUUUGUGACGAUUAAACGUAAUGUUUUGACUCACCGGAGCUUUUAAAAGACAACGUUUUGAUUCAAGUCAACAACUUAACGGCUACAUCAGCAUCAGCUAAUUAUUAACUGACAUGAGGGGGGUAACGGUGAAAUAGUUUAUCAACUAAAAGGACCUAUUUGAAACUUUUGAAACUUAAAGGACUAACUUGAAAAUUAUGUCAAACUAAAAGGACCUAAUUGAAACUUUUGAAACGUAAAGGACUAACUUGAGAAUUAUGUCAAACUAAAAAGACCAAACGUCAUAUUUGGCCUACAAAAAGUACAAAAGUUCACGUGAGAGAAUCGAACAACCCAAAAUGUUUUGUGAACCCUAUUUCUUGAUGAAUCCACGUGAUACACAACUCAGCAAGCCAUCAGAGCAUGCCUCAACGGAGAAAAACGCCGAUAUCUGCAUGGAAACCAACCCCAAAAGGGGUUAUCUUCCAAAAACUACCAGCACAAGGUCAUAGGUGUUCUGGAAUGAGGAUAAUGCGUAGGGGCAGCGCCUCUCAUCGCACCACCGCGCUAGCCGCUACAUCUAAAAGGAACAAAUUUGAAUGAGGGGAAGGCGUUGGAGAGGUGGUCGUUCAAGAGAGAAGCGAGAGAGUACUUUUUGAGAGAGAUAAGGGAGCAUCCUCCUAUCUUCCUAAAGUUACAUGCAUUUCUUAAUUUUGUCUAACAUCCAAUUUACCCUCUAUACCGUAGAUUUUUUUAAAAUACUCCCUCCGGUCCUAUUUACAAGAUAAAGUUGAUUUUUUUGAUACAUUGAAUAAUGUAUGUAUCUAGUCAAGAACCUAAACUAAAUACAUAAAUUAUUUUAUGUAUCUAAAAAGUAAAUUGUCUCUUGUAAAUAGGUCCGAAGGGAGUAUUUACUUUUUUUUGAACAAAGUAAAAUGAGACAUAUAUUAUAAACAAUGGCGAUUUACCGUGCACAAGACAUGCAAAAGGUAAACCGACCAAUCAAAAUACAACAGUAGGGUGCUAAUUUAGAGUAACACCGUAAAAAAGUUACAAAAAAACUACACAAAAACACCCAUGCAGGGAAGUGGGUGUUUCCACCAGUCAUAAUAAGAAUAAAUAAAAGAUAUAUGCGAUGAUUUCAGCCACAUAAACGAGUUCAGCUUCACUUUUUCAGCUAAAGAAGAAGGAUCACAAACCGUUUCUUGGAACACACGGUUAUUUCUUUCCUUCCAAAUGACCCAAGCAGAAGCGAACCAUAUUACUUUCAGAUAAUAAUGAGUGGCUCUAGGAAAGCCGGCCAAAUUAGAAAAUUGUGUAAAAUGCCGCCGAAUAUCACCUGGAAACACCACAGAUAAACCUAACCAAUGCAAAAUAUGAUCCCAAAGCGUACUAAAAAUAUUACAGACACAAAACAAGUGAUUUGCGGUUUCAUAGGCACCACAACCUGACACACAAACCGAGUUAGCUAACAGAAGAACACGCCGAUGAACCAAGUUGUCUCUAGUGGGAAGUCUAUUCCGAAAAAGGCGCCACACAAAUAGUGACACCUUAGAGGGUAUGCUCUUAUGCCAAACAUCUUCAACCAGAGUCUUAUCCACCACAUUACCAUUAUCAGUGAGAAAACGAUAAGCUUCCCGUACCGUAUAACCACGGAUAGGAUCUAACAACCAAAUCCAAGAGUCAUGAACAUUAACCUGCAAAACGACAUUAGAAAGUAACAUAGAACAUUCCUUCACACUUUCCUCCUCCCACGCCAAAAGUCUCCGGCUCCACUCCCACCCCCACCUCCAACCUCCCAACCGUCCCUACUCAUGUCCUCCACCGUACACUCUUUGCGUAAAAACAAAUCAAAAAGACGGGGGAAUUUACAACAUAAAGGUGUAUCCCCCAACCAAUUAUCAUACCAAAAUAAAGUAUCCCUACCAUCUCCUACCCUCCUACGAAUGUUGUCAUCAAACCACCUCCCAACACCCUCACCUAACCCCUCCCUAAUCCUACACACUGACCGCCACCACGGAGAAUCGAGGUGUCCUCCCUCCUCCAACCGUCCCCCUAUCUCACCAUAGCGGGCUUUAAGUACUUUAUACCACAUCCCCUCCUUUUCAUUCAACAUCCUCCAACACCACUUCCGCACCAACGCCAAAUUAAAAGCUCCCAUCCUCCUCACCCCCAACCCUCCGUGCUCCUUUGGAGUACAAAUCGACUCCCAAUUUAUCCAAGCAAUUUUCCUAGAGUCCUCACCCCCACCCCAAAAAAAAAAUUAAAAAUAGAUUCAAUAGAGGAAAUUAUACCUGCGGGGGCUUUGAAAAAGGAAAGAAAGUAAACAGGAAUGGAAGACAGAACAGAUUUCAGAAGAACCAAGCGGCCGCCAAAAGAAAGGAAUUUAUUACUCCACAAGGACAGGCGCGAAACAAUUCGAUCGACAACAGGUUUCCAAAAACUAAGUUUCCUUGGAUCACCACCAAUAGACAACCCUAAAUAGACAAAAUGGAUAGUUCCCCUUCGACAAUUCAUAACCAACGCCGCUUCAGUCAACCACGAAUCCGAAACAUUCACACCCGUCAACAUGCUUUUAAGAAAAUUUACCUUCAACCCCGAAAUCUUUUCAAAUAAUAGCAAGACGGACCUCAUGGUUCUGACGUUCAACCAACUUUUCUCUCCAAUAAUAAGGGUGUCAUCCGCAAACUGCAAAUGAGUUAAAUAAACAUCACCUGAUCGACCAACUUUGUACCCUGAAAACAUAUUAGCAUCAACCACCGCUUUCAUCAACACAUUGAAACCUUCUGUAACCAACAAAAAAAGAAAAGGUGAUAAAGGAUCUCCUUGUCGAAGGCCCCUCUCAAUAGGAAACUCAUUCGCCGGGCUACCAUUAACCAAAACUGAUGUUGUUGCUGUCCCAACACAUUCAUGAAUCCACUUCCGCCAGAGUCUCGGAAAAUUCAUAUUCUCCAUUACCAUGUCCAGAUACCUCAGAUCAACUGAAUCAUACGCCUUUUCGAAGUCAACUUUAAACAACAACAGUUCUUUAUUCAUCCUCUUAGCUUCAUCCACCGCUUCGUUAGCUAUCAAAAUACUGUCAAGAAUCUGUUUCCCCUGAAUAAAAGCCGACUGUGACUCUGACACAACAUUACCCACUACUAAACGGAGACGAUUGGCGAGGACUUUAGCUAGCACCUUAUACAGACAGCCCACUANAGAGAUAGGCCGAAAAUCAUGGAGUCUUUGCGGACUAUUAACUUUUGGAAUUAAAGCUAUAAAAGUUGAGUUUAUACCUUUUGUAAGUUUCCCAUUCCGAUGGAAAUCUACCAAAAACCUCAUAAAGUCAUCUUGAAGCAAAUCCCAAAAUUGUUUGAUGAAACCAAAAUUGAUGCCAUCAGGCCCUGGGCUUUUGAAGCUAUCACAAUCCCACACCGCCUGUUUCACCUCCUCAACUGAAAAAGGUUUUGUCAAAUUCCCAACCUGAACACCAGUUAAUUUUCGAAAAAGAAGAUUCUCCACACCCCACCGAUUAGCCGCACUUGAUUUAAAGUGAGAAGAGAAAUGAUUAAAGACCGCAUUCCGAAUAGCUUGAACACAUUCCAAAUUAACCCCAUCGACAGACACACACCUAAUAGCAUUGUGACGCCGUUUAGCAGACAUAACUCCAUGAAUUUUUUUUGAAUUUGCAUCUCCUUCCUUCAACCACUGCAAUCGAGAAUUUUGCCAGUGUACACUAGUCUGAGUUCGAGCCAAAGAAUGGAGAUUCACAGAUAAAUCACGUAAUUCCAGCACCUCAUUUUCCUGAAGUUCCGACAACUCUGCCUUUGUAUCUAAAAUGGAUAAUUUAUUUUUUACCUCCGACUUCCUUCCAUCUAAAUUCUUAAUAUGCUAACACUUUAGGUGAAAAAAAAGAUUAUACUUUUAUGUUAAAAAAUAAUUUAAAAAUAUUUUUACAUUGUCAAUUAAUAAAGUAAAAAUAUUAAAAUUUGAUUAAAAUUAUUUUUAAAUUCAUAUACAUGAUUGCUUGUGAUUAUUUAAAAAUAGUAAAAAAAUAAUAGUUCAACCGUAUAGUGAAAUUAAACUAAAAAAAAGGUGUACCGCAAUAAUUUCAUUCUCCACCUUUUAUUGAUUUUGUUUUUUCCGGCCCCUCCCACCAUUUAUUUCUGGCUCCACCCGACAAUCAAUUUGUGUCGAGUGUUUAAUCUACACAAUUUUUUUUAUUAUCUACAUUUAUUUAUUUUUUAUUUCAUUAUUAUUUAUCAGUUAAUAAAUACUUCCUUCGGUGUCCCCGUGAGCUUAGCUCAGUUGGUAGGAACAAAUGCAUAAUAUAUGCAGGGGCCAAGGUUCGAACCUCAGAUACACUACUUCUUCACAUUAAAUAUGUGUGAGCUCCAGCCACUAGGCUACCUGACCAAAAAAAAAAAAUACUCCCUCCGAACAUACUUAUAAGAAAUACUAGAAAUCCGACCCGUGCUGACGUCAUAUAACAAUAAAUCAUAAAUCAUACAAAUAGAAGAAAUUUAAUUCCGUUCAAUCAUACAAAGUACACGAUUUAGGAUACAUUCCAAGUCAUACAUAUUAAUAGAAGAACUUUAAUUUCGUUCCAUCAUACAAAGUACACAAUUUAGGAUACAUUACAAAAAACUUCAUGAUAAACAACAUUAGACAUUACAUUAGUGUCUUCACGAUCAUCACAAUUUUGUUUGUUUUUUGGAAACUAAUGCUUCUAAGUUGCAAAGAAAUUGAUGGUUCUUAUCUUACUAUUAUUUUGUUCCCAAUUUGUAAGGUGUUCAACUAAUCAAGCUCAAACCUUAUAAGAGUGAGGUUCAUGGUGUUUUGUUAAAACUUGAAUAUGCAAUUAACAAUGACGGCCCUUUUAUGGUGGUGUUAUUUUAUUAAUAUUUUGACGGUGAUUUAUCAUAGUAAGUGCAACAGAGUGUGAUAUAUAUAUAUAUAUAUAUAUGAGGAUGUAUACUAUGAGAAUGAGUAUUUUAUAUGAGAAUGAUGAGAAUAAUUAUCAAUCAUCAGAUUAAAAAUAAAAGGUUGCGAUUAAAAAUUCUUAUUUAAACAACCCAUGUGCCUCACUUACACUUAGUGUAUCCACAAUACUCAUUCAGCUACCCAUUCAUCGCUUCAUCUUCUUCAAAAUCUCCAUUUUCUGCAACUUUUUCAUCUAUCAAAUCUUCAUUGUAAUUUCUUUCUGCAAACAAAUCCAUAGAAACAUCUCUUUCAUCAACCCAAACAACAUUUUUUGUGUUUGAGAUGUGAAUUGAGGUUUUUGUUUGUUUUUCAAUCAACUUCAAUUAAGUGUAUUCCUGUUUCGAAUGAAUUUCAAAUUUUUGAUUUCAAUCGGAACUCUUGUUUUUGGAUUUUCAAACUGUUGUAUUUGGAUUUCCAAAAUCUAUUAUCUACCGAAGUUGUUACUAGGUUGAGUCGCGACCAGGUCGCUCUCUUUAAGACGUUUCGCGGCACUGCCCAAAAUUGUGCAAGGCAGACUAUCAACCACGCCGCCUCCAGAAUAAAACAAGCCCAGCUACUACUGUUUGAUUAACUAAUGCACUGUAGAAAAUCGUUCGAGAAUUACACCUCCAAAUAUGGUGCUAAGACCACUCUUUAAUACUGAAACCACUUUAAUAUGGUAUUGUUACCACUCUGUUAUGGUGCUGAGACCACUCAAAUAUGGUAUUAACACCAUUCUAACUUUAAGUUCUCCAAACUAUCAAUAUGGUACUACGACCACUCAAAUAUGGUGAUACCACCAUUUCUCCUCAAAUAGAAAAAUAUUGAAAUACUUUUUAUAUAUACCCUUAAGAUCAUUAUUAAUUCCGACGGAACAUUGUUAUUCCAAAUAGGGACUAUGAUCUUAAAAGUACUCUUUAUUCUGAAGGGACAUAUAUUAUCGAAGAGAUUAUGUUUUAAGACCAUUCUUAAUUCCGAAGGGACAUUAAACCGAAAAGGGACUAUGGUCUUAAGAACAGUCUUAAUUCCGAAGGGACAGAAAGGAGUAGAAAAAGGAGAAUGACUUGUCAACACAAGUCGAAUGAGGGAGAAGAGAGGAAAAACACAGAAAACAUCAACUGUGAAUUUCGGUGUGUUUUUGAACUAAGUGGAGUCCUCUAUUUAUAUAGAGAUUCUGUAACUGUUUUAGCAAAAAUUGCGACAACAGUUACUCUAAUGGAUAAGAUUAAAAUGAAGUUUAUCCAUUAAUCAGUUCAACAACACUUGUGAAUAGGAUGAAAAGAAACAAAUCCACAAAAGUGGAGGAAACAAACUAUUGGAUUUGAAUGAAGGAAAUAUAAUAAUAAUUAAAUUAUUAUUCUUAUCACAACCACCAUAAGCUAAAUUUAUGUAAAGUGAUAUUCUCGAAUAAAUUAAUAAUUAAUAUUAUUUUUAUCAUUACCAAGUAUUUAAAAUUAAAUACCACAAUUUAAGCACUACUAAUGUGUGUGUUCUAUUUUAUGUGAGACCCCCACACUCUAUUUUUUCAAUUCACACAACAUUAGAUCAUAGUAUAAUUACUUGGUGUUUAAUCUUCCAAUUUUUUAUCCAACAUCACAUCAAUGUUCCAACAAUUCCCCACUUGAAUUUUAAAAAUGGUUUCAAUAAUAACGUCAAAACGUUUCUAUAAGGUUGCUAAUAAACAAAGGUGUCGCCUACAACUUGAACCUUUGCAUAGCGGAUAAUAUUCUGAUUUAACAAGAGUUGCUUACAGCAUUGAACUCUAUCUCAGACAUAGAACCCACACACAAACCUUUUCCUAAGGUGUAUUCUAAAAGCUCGUGCGUUUUAUGGCCUUGCACGUCUAUCCCGGUUUUAACGAACGUUCUAGGUAUUCUGCCCCGAAUACCAUAGGAAUCGGCCUAAGUUCCACAUUCGUAUAGGUGAGUCUAUCAAGAGUACUCCUGUAGCUAGGUACUCCACUCCACAUAGAGUAUAGAUCUCAUUAAGAGUUUCUAUUAUCUCAUCCUUAUGUCACUGCAGGAAUCAUGCUUUCUUACUUUUCUCAUGCAUGUUCUUUCACUCAUGACUUGUCAUUACCCAUUGAACCUAUUUCUUGGGAUCUCCAAUCAUGUAGGUCGGGUUACCAUUACUAGUGACCUUUGGGCAUUAGUCCCAUAUUCCUAUUGGAUGUGUUUAGGACUUUUUUUCUAGUAAUUCCUUUCGUCAAAGGAUUGACUAAUUCUUUAUUUGUACGUGCACGAUAUACUUUAACCGUUCCUUUUAGAGCUCUCUAAUUAUUCUGUGUUCGUGCCUUAAUUAUCGUUUCUCACCAUUGUGGUAAUGAUUCUCAAUUUUGUAAUAGAUGCAAACUAUCACAAUAAAUUAACACUUCGGACAACGGUUUCACCCACUGAGGGUUCUUAGCUAGCAAGCAUCUUAUCAACUUGCUUCUUCACUAGUUUUCUCUAGUGUUCUCAUCUCAGAAUCAUUCCAUAAUAUCAUUUGUUUCAACAAAUAACUCCUCCAGUGAUGCUCAAUUGGCAGUCACUGGUCGCUUUGAGACUCAUCUGAAGGAUGUUCAAUUUUUUUUUUUAUCUUGUACUACUCAUGUACAAUAUGAUACUUCUCAUUUGUAUCUUGUAACAUUCAAGUACAAUAGGAUACUUCUCAUAAUGUAAUCCUAGAGUCAUAAUCUUCUUAAGGCACCUCAUGACUCUUUCAAUAGCAUGACAAUGCUUCUCAUCUGUCUACUAGUAAACUUGAACAAAAGUCUUACGACGUGGCCAAUGUCGAGUCUAAUACAUUCAAUGGCAUAUAUAAAGACUGCCAAUGAUGCUUACCCUCAAGUGUUCUUGAAAAGCUUUACACUUGCAAGUUUAUAGUCAAAGAAUUACAUUUCCUUAAGAUAUUCUCAACUUUGUGAGAUUCAUCAGAAAAGUUUUCUUUUUUGAUCUAGUAAUCUUGAAACCAAGAAUUACUUCACCUUUGUCUAGGUCUUUCUUAUCAAUGUUGUUGAUAAACAAUGAUUUCACAUAAUUCAUAACAUGAAUCUUUAAACCAAAUAUGAGCAAGUCGUCUUCAUAGAGACAUAUGAUCGUGCAAAUAUUAUUUGUCACUUUCAUUCACUUUAUACUCAUUCGAUAGCAUUAGAAUGUCAAAUUUUUCAUGUCAUUCUUUAAGAGUUUAUUUUUUACCUCACAAAGAAUUAUCUAACUUACAAAACUUGUUUUCUAGUCCAUGAAUCACAAAACCUUCAGGUUGUUUAAUAUAGACUUCUUCUUCUAGUUCACCAUAAAGAAGGCAACUUUCACAUCUAUUUGGAAUACUAUCGAGUUAUGAACGGCGGCAAAAGGGACUAGUACUCUUAUGGAUAUGAUACUAGUGACUGGUGAAUAAGUGUCGAAGAAUACUAUAUUUUUCUGUCUAAAACAUUUGACUACAAGGAGAGCCUUGUAUUCAUUGAACCGUAUCAUCAGGUUUUAGUUCUUUUUCCUAAAAUCCAAAUACAACCGGUUAGUUUGCAACUAUGAGACAAGUCAACCAAGUGUCUUGUUUUGUUAGACUCUAGAAAAUCCAUUUCAUCAUUUAUUGCUUCUUGCCAUAAUUCAGCAUCCAAUAAGGAUAUAGCUUCUUUAAGGCUUAAUGGAUAUUCUUCCAAUGUAUAAACCGAGUUCAUACUCUUUAGCUAUUCUAGCUUUCCUACCUCCUCGAGGUUCUAUAACAUCUGGUACGAUGUUUUCAUAACUAUUUAUGAUUACAUGAAUGUGAUCAAAUAUAGUGCCCCCACUAGUUCUUAAUUUUUAGAAGGGAAUUUAUUUUGCCCCCAAUAAUGUUGUGCUCCCACUAGUGCCCCCACUAUUCUUUAGUUAAAGGGGUAAAUAUAUUUCCAUAGAAAUCGACAUCUUUUAAUUCUAUGAUCACUUUAGCAUUUAAGUCAUAAACUUAUAUGCUUCGCUGUUUAUAGCAUACCUAAUGAAUACACAUUCAUAGGCUCUACUAGUGAGUUCAACUCUCUUGGGAUUCAUAGUCAAAAUAUAGUCCAGACAAUCCCAAGUUAAAAAAUAAGACAAGUUGGAUUGUCUUUUCUUCAAAAAUUUCUUAAUUAGAAUUUUUGUUCUUAGACUUGGGUACUCUAUAAAUUUCAAUUUUCGUUAUAAAAAUUGAACAUAUCAAGCAUAUCAAUUUUAUUUUUCAAAAUUCACAGUCAUCAAUAAAUAUGAUAAAAAUAUCCUUUCAUCAUUUCUACUUUAUGUGCCAUCAAAUUCACACAUAUCAUAAUUUAUUAUGUUUAGAGAUUUAUAUCUCUAAAUUCUGAUUUAUAUGAACUUUUGGUUCAUAUAUCUUGACUGCAAUAAAUAAAAUUGUCUAAUCAUAUAACUUUGGAAUUAAAUCCAAGUUACUCAAGUUUAAAAUUAAACGUUUGUUCACAUGACAAAUUUUGAUAUGUCAAAUAUUAAAAUCACACAACUAAUAAAAUAGAAGGAAAAUUUAUUUUGAACAUACCAUCAAGGACACAUCUUUUCCCACAAUAAUGCAUGAUGCACAAAUCUUUCUUUAAGUUUGAGCUAACUCAGUCUUAUUCAAUAGAAAUCUGAAAUUCAGAUUCUUUCUUAUUUUAAAAGCAUGCAACAAGUUCCAAACCUUAACAUUAGCAUCAAGGGAAAAUGGGUAUUCUAAAUUCUUGCAUUUUAAUAUGCUAACUUGCGACUCUGUAUACCCAACAAUAUGCCAUAAAAGUACCUAUAGCAUUUAUAUAAGGGAACUUCUACGGUACACUCACAAAGUGAGGUGUACCGGUACUCUUGCUCAAUAAUUUUAUAAAUUAACGAUCAUUUUUUGUGAAAUAAAUAACUAUUUAUCAACAUUUAUAUUUUAUAGAACAUUAUUUCAUAAGAAAAAACAUCAUUGCAUUGUUUAUAAGAAUUUUAGUAAUAUUUUUACAUAUUAUCGUAAAAAAAUAAUCAAUGUUCUCGAUUAUGGGUGAUAAAAAUUCAAAAAAUAUUAAUUUUAAUUCGUUGACACUUUUGAUGAAUAAGAUUUAGUUAUUAUAAUUAUAAAUGAUAAAAAAAUAAUUUUUUUUUAUCAAAAAACAACUCAUUUAACUAUUAGUUUAAAGAGUGGAUGUACCGGUACACUCAAAUAUAUUGGAUGUACCAUAGAAUUUCGCUUUUGUAUAAUUCGUUGCAUAAGUAAUAAGUUAUGGCCAUUCUUCUUACUGUUUGAAAAAACUGACAUAGAUUUUUCAAUUCUGGUUACUGUUUUAGUGACAAACUAAACUUGUUUGGUUCUAUAACGAAUAAUUUGUUUUGUAACAAAUUAUAGUCUUAAUCAAAUAUUGUUCGAUUUUUUAUUUUAUUCACGGUAUGAUUUUGAUUUUUGAAAACAAAUUUCAAUCAAAUUCAGAGUCACAUUAGUGAAUUUCUUAGUGUUAUUGUUUAUAACUACAAUCACUUUUUCAGUCAAAAGAUGUAUUUAUAUAGUUUGACACAUUAUUUUUGGAUUUCCAAACUGUUGUAUUUGGAUUUCCAAAUUCUAUUAUCUAACGAAGUUGUUACUAGGUUGAGUCACGACCAGGUCGCUCUCUUUAAGACGUUUUGCGGAACUGCCCAAAAUUGUGCAAGGCAGACUAUCAACCACGCCGCCUCCAGGAUAAAACAAGCCCAGCUACAACUGUUCGAUUAACUACUGCACUGUAGAAAAUCGCUCGAGAAUUACACCUCCAAAUAUGGUUCUAAGACCACUCUUUAAUACUGAAACCACUUUAAUAUGGUAUUGUUACCACUCUGUUAUAGUGUUGAGACCACUCAAAUAUGAUGUUAACACCAUUCUAACUUUAAGUUCUCCAAACUAUCAAUAUGGUAAUACGACAACUCAAAUAUGGUGAUACCACCAUUUCUCCUCAAAUAGAAAAAUAUUAAAAUACUUUUUAUAUAUACCGUUAAGAUCAUUCUUAAUUCCGACGGGACAUUGUUAUUCCAAAUAGGUACUAUGAUCUUAAAAAUACUCUUUAUUCUGAAGGGACAUAUAUUAUCGACGAGACUAUGUUUUAAGACCAUUCUUAAUUCCGAAGGGACAUUAAAACGAAAAGGGACUAUGGUCUUAAGAACACUCUUAAUUCCGAAGGGACAGAAAAGGAGUGAAUAGGCCAAAAACCCCCUGAAAUUGUAACUUUCGUCAAAAAUCCCCCUGAUUUUUAAGAAACUUCAAAAACGCCCCUGAAAUUAUCAAACGUCAGUCAAUUACCCCCCUCCGUUUGUUUUGGCUGUUAAAUGACUAUUUUUUAAUUUCUUUUUGCUUUCUUCAUCUUCUUCCUUCCACUUUUUUCAUCAUCUUCAUCAAUAUUCAUAAAAAAAUCCAGAAAAAUUUUAAGAAACAACAACCAUUAACAACAUCAUCAUUAACAUCACACACUUUAUAAUGAUUCUCUCUCUCUUGUUUGUUACCUUCUUGAAUUAAUCAACAACAACCUUUUGGAAUUCAUCAACAACAAAAUGAAUAAUAGAAAAGAUCAUGAACUUGUUUGAAAAAGAACAAGGUUUAUGAUGAAUAGCAUGGACAACAACAUCAACAGCAACGGUUCUUCUCAUUCUCAUGAUGUUACUGUUCCAUCAUCACUCAUGUCUCCUCUUCAGAAUCAAUCACUUUUUAACCCUCAUUCAAAUGGAUUUCUUUUUUGGAGCAGCGAUGAGAUUACCAACAACAAUGAUCAUCAUCAUCAAUUGUCUCUUGAUCUUUCUGCUACGACCCUUUUGGAUAACAAUGAGCAACAAACAAGAGAAGCUAGUAAUGAGAUGAUGAUGAUGUUGUUAAUGGUUGCUGUUUCUUAAUUUUUUUCUGGAUUUUUUAUAAAUAUUCAUGAAGAUGAUGAAAAAAGUGGAAGGAAGAAGAUGAAGAAAGCAAAAAAAUAAAAAAUAGUCAUUUAACAGCCAAAACAAACGGAUGGGGGUAAUUGACUAACGUUUGGCAAUUUCAGGGGGGUUUUUGACGAAAGCUACAAUUUCAAGGGGGUUUUUGCCUAUUUACUCGACAGAAAAGAGUAGAAAAAGGAGAAGGACUUGUCAACACAAGUCGAAGGAGGGAAAAGAGAGGAAAAACACAGGAAGCAUCAACUAUGAAUUUCGGUGUUAAAAUGAAGUUUAUCCAUUAAUCAGUUCAACAACACUUGUGGGUAGGAUGUAAAGAAACAAAUCCACAAAAGUGGAGGAAACAACUAUUGGAUUUGAAUGAAUGAAAUAUAAUAAUAAUUAUAUUAUUAUUCUUAUCACAACCAACAUAAACUAAAUUUAUGAAAAGUGAUAUUCUCGAAUAAAUUAAUAAUUACUAUUAUUUUUAUCAUUACCAAAUAUUUAAAAUUAAAUACCAUAAUUUAAACACUACUAAUGUGUGUGUUCUAUUUUAUGUGGGACCCCCACACUCUAUUUUUUCAAUUCACACAACAUUAGAUUAAAAUAUAAUUACGAUAUUUAAUCUUCCAAUUUUUCAUCCAACAUCACAUCAAUGUUCCAACAUUUACCAUUGACACGCCAAAAUAUAACUGUUAUAUAAACGAACAUUUCUUUGGUUUUGUUAUACAUAGAUAAAACAGUUAUUUCAUAGUUAAGCAUGGUUGCAAAGCAUUUGCUUUUAAUAGCAGAAAAAAUAAUCAUAUAAUAAGGAACGUCGACCAAUAUUACAUUACCAAAACUUAGAACUCAUCAUAUUAUCUAAUUUAUCUGAAUCUUAUUGCCCUUUUAUAUUUUGUAAAACAAAAGUUUAAGAUGCAAGAACAAAUCUCUUUAAAAAUUAUAAGCAAUUAUAACAUAUGGUAAAAGUAACAAAAACUUUAUAAUUAUAUUAAGCAUGAAGACUCGUACAUAUUGAUUGAAUACAUAGUUCAAUACUGAAAAGAAAAAAAACUAAAAGCACCACAUAAUAGAUCCUUUCAGAAUUUAAAACGCAAAUUGAUACGAAGCUGACAGAUUUCGUAAAUUCCAUUCAUCUUUUUCAAACACGCAUACGACUAACAUAGAGAGUCUUGUUGAAGCCGGGAGCUGGAGCACCGAUCUUUAUCGUUUCACCCUGCUGAAUUCUUCAUGCAUCUACCAUCCUUUUCAACUGAAGCAAGAUUAUUAUGGGAGUAAUGGCUAUACCAGUGAGGAAUUGGUAGGAGAGCAAUGCUAGGAGUGGACGAUCUCCCAUGCUUGAAACAGGUAUGUUACGAAUUUGCUUGGAACAAUGGCAAAUCAAGCUGCUCACGCAACAUGGCUUAUAUAGUGCAAGCAUGGACAUGCGAAAGAGGGAGGGGUUUAAAUCUGCAUAGAGAAGCCGAACUGUUAUGUUUGGAAAAUGUAACAGAUGAUUGAAUUGAAUUGAAUGUCUUAAAUGCAAUGGAAUUUACAUGGCUCGGCUGAACUGAAGGGUUGAGGGUGGGAAACUUCAAUUUCAUAGUGCAAUGCUGAUUAAGAAAAACACUUAGUGGGAAAUAUGAAUUGCGGCUAUAAUGGGAAUUAAAUAACCAAGAAAUUAGUGUUAGGGGAAACUUCAGUUUUUCCUUUUCAUUACAUUGUAACUUACAAAAAAUAGUUAAUAACUACAAAAUGAGAAAUAUGAUUUGCGGCUUGUCAUACCUCAUAUUUGAUUCCGAGUCGGGCUCUCUUCUCUCAAUUAUUCUAUUUACUACUUCUAUUUUUUAAACUUCCAUCUUUUAUUAAUUUUCUUUUUAAUUCUAAAUUGAAUUUUAGUCCCUUGGUCUUAUUUAUCUUUUUAUUUUCCCAUAAAAAUCCAAAAAUAUACAUGUUCAUUCCUUUUUAUUAUUUUUUAAGUGAUAAGUCCAAAAGAAAAGUCCCAAACACAGCUCACAAACAGCUAAUCCCAGCCUGUAAUGUCUCCUCUCCAAGCAACAAAAUUUUGCUCUAUAAAUACAAGCAACCCAUAUCGCAACCAAAUCAAAUCCGUACAAAACCGAACCUCAUCAACAAACCUACACAGAUCCAGAUCAAGAAAAAAAAACAAUAAAAAGGUAGUAACCCUUUUUGUAGAUCUAGGGUCCGUUAAACCUCAUUUCAAAAAACCGUUUUCAAAAAAGAGAGGAGAAGGGAAAGGGUAAUCUUUUGGUAAAAAAAAUCAAAAAAAGGAGGAGUUUUUAACUCCGGCGCGGUGGCGCCGCCGCGAAAACUCGCCGACCACCGCGCCGGAACUAUCUCCGGUAGCCUCUCCUCGUCGAAGAAGAUGAAGAAAUUCUAGAGAGAAGGCAGAGCUUCUCUCUCUAGAAAUGAGAGAAGAGAGAGAAAAAGAAAUAAAAAUGAACAUAAAAAACCGGAGCUGGCUAUUUAUAAAGGGAUUGAACCGGUUCAACCUUUAAACCGGUCUGAACCAGUCUAAUCCAAGCCCACACGCGUCUGGCCUCACCCAAGGCCCAAAUCCUCUUCAUUUUAUUUUCUGCACCCCCCUUUACUGCUCACACACCCUCAGCAUCUCUUUUUUUUUUUUUAAUUUCUUUUUCAUGCAUUUUAAUUCUCUCUCUAUCCAGAUUGCUCUGGUCCUAUAUUAACUGUUAAUAUUAUAUUUUUGUUUAAUUUAAUUAUUCUCUAGAACAAUCUGGUCCUUGUUAAAAUGAACAUAAAAAAGAGAGAAGAGAGAGAAGAAGAAAUAAAAAUGAACAUAAAAAACCGAAGCUGGCUAUUUAUAAAGGGAUUGAACCGGUUCAACCUUUAAACCGGUCUGAACCAGUCUAAUCCAAGCUCACACGCGUCUGGCCUCACCCAAGGCCCAAAUCCUCUUCAUUUUAUUUUCUGCACCCCCCUUUACUACUCACACACCCCCAGCAUCUCAUUUUUUUUUUUAAUUUCUUUUUCAUGCAUUUUAAUUCUCUCUCUAUCCAGAGUGCUCUGGUCCUAUAUUAACUGUUAAUAUUAUAUUUUUGUUUAAUUUAAUUAUUCUCCAGAACAAUCUGGUCCUUGUUAAUUAAAUUAAUCCAGAGUGCUCUGGUCCUAAUUAACUGUUAAUAUUAUAUUUUUGUUUAAUUUAAUUAUUCUCCAGAACAAUCUGGUCCUUGUUAACUAAAUUAAUCCAGAACAAUCUGGUCCUUGUUAAUUAAAUUAAUCCAGAGUGCUCUGGUCCUAAAUUAACUGUUAAUAUUAUAUUUUUGUUAAUCCAGAGUGCUCUGGUCCAAACUUAAAAUGUUAAUAUUUAUUUAUUUUUGUUUAAUUUAAUUAUUCUCCAGAAUAUUCUGGUCCAUGUUAAAAUAACUUCACAAUUCAGCUUAACUUCAUUUUUCUCAUUCUGCUUAUAUAAUUUUCAUAUCUUUAUUCCAAAACAACAAAAAUAUUCAAAUAACAAAUCACAAAAAUAUUUUUUCAUUACAAACCUUGAUUCUCAAAUCAAGUGAUCGUUCUUUUUAUUCUUCUUAAUCAAAUUUCAAAUCAAGUCUAAUUCAACUUCAAGUCAAUUUCUUUCAAUCUAAAAAACACAAACCAAUUCUCAUUCGUCACUUGGCUUUUUAUUUCAAAACCUUUUUCAAAACAUAUAAAAAACACAAAACCAAUCAAACGUCAAUUUCUACCCCGAACUACGAGGUUUUGAUCCCUCACAGGUACGUAGGCAGGGGACCUUGUCCUUCCAAAUGAAUUAAAAAACAAUUUUCUUUUUUUUUCUUUUCAACUUUCAACUAAAAAAUAUUUUUCUUUUUUUCUCUUCAAUUAAAAUCAAUUUUCUUUUCUUUUUCAACUCAUCAUUCAAUUCCAUUUUCCAUCUCUUUAAAAGCAAGCAAGUUGUAGCACCAAAAGUUAAAUAAAAUCAAGAGGUUCUCGUAGAGUACUAUGAAUAUUUAGGGUGCUAAUACCUUCCCUAAAUAUAACCAACCCCCGAACCCUAAAUCUUUUCAAAAUGGAUGGUUUGGAACUUUUUCCCCUUAAAAAAAAAUUUGUUCAGUCGUGAGAUAAAAAGUGAGUCAAAAGUCAAUCAAAUGGCCUUGACGUCCGAAAAAUGGCGCGACACGGCUGUAAUGAGAAUUAAAUAAGCAAGAAAUUAGUGUUAGGAGCAACUUCAAAAAAUAGGAAAAAUUGAGCAAAGGACCUGAAACAACAUAAAGCUUUAAAAAAUAGGAAAAGAUAUUGAAAACAGACGUCGUAAUUGUGAGAAAAAAAUAAGCAUAUCACCUAUCAAGCAGUGAUAGGACAUCAGAGUUUCAAUACCACGACAUUCCAUUGCAAUGAUAGAAAAAUGGACGAGAUUGAAUUUUUUUAAGGCGUAUAGUUGUGAUAAAAAAUUACGGUAUCACUAGAAUCAAGAGGCGCUAAAGCUUUAAGUUGCGUAGGGAGCUUUAAUCAUGCGCAGGAGUCAAAUGUGUGAAUUAAAUGCGAUAGAAUAAAUUCUGAUCGAUUGAUUAGGAAAUGCUCUCAAAUUUGAAAUGAAGUGCUUUAAAUUAUUUAAUGUAUGAAAAACAAUUUGAAAUAAAAUGAAUUUAUUGCGUGUUAAAAGGGUGAGAAGGUCAAACCUGUGAAUUAACUGCGUGGGAGGGAAAUUGCUAGGUUAGAUUUAGGGUUAGGGUUAGCUUGACCAGACAAACUUUAGUAAGUAAGAUUUGAUUUUUUUUAUUCAUUACAUAAAUGAUAUAUUUGGUUUAUAUUUUAGACAAGAUACAUCAAUUACUUAAUGAAUCUAAAAAGUUAAAUUUUUCUUAUAAAUAAAACCGGAAGAAGUACCAUGAACAAUAACAAUCUUUCACAGUAAUAUGUUUAGUGCCACGUGAGUCCUGUAUUUUCUAUGUUCUUGUAGGACGUAAAAAGGUUCAAAACUUUGUUUGUUGAGAGAGAAAAUAUGUGUUCCCAUUUAUGGGACAUUCUGAGUAUGAUUGGUGUUAUUGUUUGAUAGUGGGGAGGAGUGAUUGUCUUCUAACUUCUAAGUUCUAACAAUUAGGUUAGGGUUAAAUAUAAAUAAAAUAAAAUAAAUUCAAAGGGGUGGUUGGAUGAUUGGGGUGUGGUAUCCUCAUGGGGGUUGCACGUGAUGUCUCAAAUCACUAACCCGUAAUUAGUAAUUAGUGUUCACAUGAUUGGGUGCAUAAACCAUAUAGAUUCAAUAAUCAUAUUUAUUAGGGUAUAAGUCUUUCUUUGAUGUUGUUUGUAAGAGUUGUACUUCUUCGUUCGUCAGUUUAAUGUACUUUAUCGAUGAAUUUUUAUAGAAAUAUCAUCCGUAAAUUUAAAAGGAGAGGUAAGAACGGAAUACACAUUAUAACGCAUUCAUCAUUUUUUUGGAAAAGCUUAAUAAUCAUCGUUACAAAUACAUAGUCUGAUGCAAAUUUAUACAUGAUUUCUCCCGAAGAAAUAUCUAUCUAUACUAUAUAGUGGCAAGAUAGAUAAAUACACCAUUAUAUCAACACACAACAUUAUUUUUAUUCAUGAAAUAUAUUACUGAGAAAGAGUACAUGGUGCAUGAAGAUAGAUAUCAUUAUGAUCAGUUUUGAGUUUUGUCCUCAGUUUGCUCGGCACCGUGACCACCGUGACCACCUCCACCAUGUCCCCCGUGUCCACCUCCACCGUGGUUGUAACCACCUCCACCGUGGUGGUAACUACCUCCUCCAUGGUUGUAACUACCUCCACCAUGGUUGUAACCACCACCAUAUUUGGCAUCAUUUACUUCAUUAGUCUUUUCCUCAGUUUGCACGGCAACAGAUUCAGCAGCACCAUGACCACCGUGACCUCCUCCACCAUUGUAACCACCUCCACCGUGACCUCCGUGGCCUCCACCACCAUUGUAACCACCUCCGCCAUGGUUGUAACCACCUCCACCGUGGUUGUAACCACCUCCGCCGUGGUUGUAACCACCACCAUUGUAACCUCCUCCACCAUGGUUGUAGCCACCUCCACCGUUGUUGUAACCACCACCACCAUGGUUGUAACCACCUCCACCGUUGUUGUAACCACCACCGCCGUGGUUAUAACCUCCACCAUUAUAACCACCACCACCGUGGUUGUAACCUCCACCAUAGCCUCCAUAUUUGGCAUCGUUUACUUCAUUAGUCUUUUCAACAACUUCUGAAACACGAUAUAUAUGAAUUGUUAAAUCAUUACUUCAAAUAUAUAUGAAUUUAAUGGUAGUGGGUUGACGAUAUAAAAUAACUUUGUAUACAAGACUAAUCAAAAUAUUUCAAGUUUCCCUGCAAAUUAAAAAAUAUUAAUUGAUGUGGUGAUUCUAAAUAUUUUCAAUGGUUUUGUGUGCAAAAAUUUUUUGAACCAUCAACCAACCACCAUUAAACUUAAUAUAUAUAUAUAUAUAUAUAUGAUUAUGUAUUCACACCGGCGUAAUGUUUGAAUAAUUUUACAUUUCUCACAAACUUAUUGAAUAUAGAAUUAUACCAAAUUUAAAAAGACUCACAAUUGAAUAUAUAAUAUAAUUAUAUCAUAUUGAUCAUCUUUGUAAGUUAUGAAGCAAAUUUGAAAUCAUUUUAUAUAAAAUUGAGUGCAUGAAGAUUAACGUUUACAUAGAAAAGAAUUAAUUAUAACGUAUAAAAUUAUAUAAUUAAGUAUAAAAGAAUUAUCCUUCAAAAAAGUAGAAAAGAAUUAAAACAUAUAUCUAAAACGCUCAUGAAAACAUAUAUAAAGAAACAUAAUAUAAUAUAUAGCUCACCCUUUUUAGUAUCAGUGGAAGUUUCAGUUAAGUCCCUAGCGGACAUCACUGAGGAAAUAAGAGCCAUAGCCAAUAGGCCUAGCAUGAGGAUUGCCUUUUUCGAAUCCAUUGUUCAAAUGUGAUAUUUAGUAGUGAACGAUGAGAAAAACUAGUAAGAAGUGUACUCUAUAUAUAAUGGAGGGAAGGAGGGAGAUGUAGGGACCUUCACUUGGCAGUUGAGAAGGUAGCUCUUGUGUAUUAAUUCAUUACUUUGUAGGUUCAUAAUGUAUCUAGUCAUAUUAUAGAUCAGAUACAUUUCAUCAGCAAUUAUAUUGAUGAAACUUCUUCUUGUUCUUGUUCUUGUCGAAUGAGUCUUCAACUAUUGCUUCAUCUUCACCUCUCAUCAGCAAUUCCAACGAGCCUUCCACUUUUUCUUCCUUUUGAAAAUUCAUGAAGUCUUUUUAUUUUUCUUCUCUCAAAUAUAUUCUUUUACUUUUCACUUGAGAUUUUUAACAAUUGCUACUCAUCUUAUUUAUAGAAUUUUAACUCUUCUUAGAACCAUUGUCUAUAACAAAAUUUUGUUUAAAUUUGAAGAUAAUGAGAAACAAACUUUGUUUAAUAAAAAACUUUGUUCCAAAGAGAUAGCAUUAAUUUAGUUUUAUUGAAAAAGAUAAGAGUAAUUGAUAAAGGAUAUAAUUGAAAAAUCGUACGCUUAAAAUACCAAAAAGACAGUUAAAUAGUAACGAAAAAUUCAUCCAAAAAAGACACUUAAAAAGAAACGGAGGGAAUAGUAUUUCAUAUCUUAUUUAUGUAUUAACAAAAAAUAUAAAAUUUUGAUAUUUUAAAAAUAUUCGACAAAUACAAAAAUAUCUUAUAUAUUAUCAUUUGCCUAUAUAAUAUACGAUAGUAAAAAAAAGAUGAUUAAAGUAUGUUAGGUAAAUAAUGCAUUUAGUCACUUGUUUUAGAAUAGAGUAGUUGUAAAGAUUGAAGGCUAUGAAAAUGGAGAUGAGUUAUGUCUACUUGCUAUUGGCUGAAAGUGACAUUUUGAAAGCAUGCUAUUGGUUCAUACUAGCUAUCUCAUCCCAUGGAGAUACAUACAUUCAAACUUAUCCAGACACAUUCAUAAUAUGUUUUCUAUAACUAAACAAAAUUAGCAAAAGAGUAUUACAGAGGUAGACUCUAAACUUUUUAAAGAACAGUGAUGUUGAAUACUUGUUUGAGAAAGUCGUGUGUAGGCAUAAUCAUUUAGACACAAAGUUUAGGCACAUACACAUAAAUAAAUAAAAUUAAAAGAUAAAUAAAAUAGUUACAUCAAUCAAUAUCACUUUAAUUAUUUUCUUUUUAAUGUUUUAUUUCAUAGGUGUGUGCCUAAAUGUGAGAUGUUGGUCUUGUGAUCAAGUUAGAGUUUCUCAACUAGCUUUUACCGUCGUAUAAUUUUAUUUGCUUCAAACGAUUACACAAAUUAAGAAAGAAUCUAUGUUUCUCAACUAUAUUAAGAAAACGAGUUGUUAGAACUAAAAUAUCGAAAUAUAAAAUAUGAAUAAAUGCUUUCUUAAUUCAAAGAGCAAUGAUAUCGAAACAUAAACUUUGCAAUUUGGUUAUUAGUUGAAUAUAAUCCGGAUGUACGAUCUUGGAUCGACGGCUGAGAUUAUUUUUCCGUGUAAAAUUAAUUUUAUAAUUUGAAUAAUUGAAUCACAAAUCAAUGGUCAAGAUUCACUACAUCGUAAAACUGCGUGUUGUUUUUCCAGCAUGGAAUUUGGGUCCCUAUACUCCGAUUCAUCACAAUAAUGAAAUAGAACUAUAAAUAACCUAUCGUUACAGAGGUAAACACAAUUGACUGAACUACAUGCAUGAACAAAAACCAAGUCUUAUUUUCACGUGAUUUUUGUUUCUUUCAUACCGGUUGUGGUUCUAAAACCUUCCUAAUUGAUUCUUACAUCCACCCUUAGCUAAGAUUCUUAUUUGGGACUUGGGAGUGUCACUCCGAAAGUGAUACUAUUAGAGGACACAAUUGAAAAAAUAUAUAUCAUACUGAAAAUUUAAUGUGACAAUUAUUUUACGAUAACUAUUUACAUAUAUGUCACUCAUCGUUUAACGAAAUAUGGUAAUGAUUUUUCUAAACACCAAACAUUUUGUUAUGACAAUAAUAUUUUAGUUUUUAUUAAAUAAGUAACUUUUUUUACAAAGGAAAACUUAGGUGAGUUGGACUCCAAGCAUUAAAAAUAUAGUUACAAAGCACACAUAACUAAAAGAUCUUUAUAUUAACAACGGAGAUUGAACUUACGAUGAUGUCAAUCAACUCAUUAACAACUGAAUCAACAUUCGCUAACGACCACGACCCACGCCUUCCCCUCCCUUACUGUUCAACUGAAGUACUAUGUUGAAUUAAAUUGCCAGCAACAAACGAUAACGAGACUCACCCACUUAUUCGAGUUUUCCUUUUCCUUCAAUUCUAACAAAAUUUAUGCAUUUAAAUAUUUAAUGUUUCUUUGUUUUUUCCUAUAGAUACAAAUUUGCGGGUAUGAGCAUUUAAUGUUAAGCAAAAAUAUCGCCAAAUAACAUUGCAAUUUGUGAAAAAUAUCAUGAUUAACGAUCUACUCGUCCAUGGAUUAACGGCGGUAACAUUGUUGCUGGCUCCAUUAUUAGUAAUUAGUUCUAUGGUCGACUCAAAUGAUCUAAACUGUAAACUUAACUUCAAAUGUUUGCUAGAACUGCAAGACAGAAAAAGAAAGAAAAGAAAAACAUAUGUAACGUGAAAAUUGAAAGUAAGUUCCAGAUUGUAUGAUAAAAAGUAGAGUUGUUUGGUAAAGCCUAUAAUUAGUACCAUUGUUUUAUCAUAAAUUUAUUUUGAGAUAUUUUUUUCUUUUUUGCAUAAUUUUAUUAAAAUUGAGGUGUUGUAAAUAUUUUUAUGAUCUCUUACAUUUAUUAACGGUGGAUCAUUUGGAAAACAUCAAAAUUUCAAUUAUAGCUGCAUAAUUUUUAGUUAGACUUUCUUUACUUCCUGACCAUCAGGGGUGGGAAUAGGUUAGGCCGAGUUAGGCUUUGCAAGGCCUGAGCCUGAUCUGUCAAAUUUUAUGAAGGACUAAGUCUGGUCUGCGGUCUGUCAUAAACUUACUUUUUAGGUCUGAGUCUAACCUUCUGAAAGUUUGAUACGGUCUGCUAGCCUGUUUAAAAGCAUAUUUCAUAUAAACAUCUUUAAAUAAGCAAUGUUAUCUAAGUUUAAAUAGACUAACGAACUAAUAUAUCAAAUAGAUUAAACUCUCUUUUGAUAAUCAACAUGACUUUUUAGAGAAUUUGAUUAUAUAUUGUAUCAUAUUUCAAUUCUACUUUAUAAUAAUACAUUUAAAUAUGCAAAAAUAUAAUGUAUACUAAUAAACUUAAAUUACUAAAUUACUGAAAAAGUUAACAAAUUUUUAUUUUAAUUCAAAGUACAAAAUAUAAUAUAAUAAUAAAUAAUAUUAUUCAUAUUUAGGCUUAAUUACCUUUUUGAUCCUCUAACUAUUUAGUUGGUAUCAGAUUGAUCCUCUAACUAAAAAUUGAUUUAUUUCGGUCCUCUAAGUUUCUCACUGUUAUUACAUUUAGUCAUUUCUGUUAGUUUUAUUCAAAUAAACGUUAGAGUUUGUGUUAUGUGGGUAUCUGACCUCCUGUUUCACACAUACAUAUGAACCAUAACAGUUACCAAUAAUAUCAGUCACUAUUUAAUCAUAAUACCUUAACAAUGAAUAUGACCAAAAUGAUACUAAUAAAUAAAGUUAGAGGACCCAUAUAACACAAACCCCAACGUUUAUUUGAAUAAAACUAACAGAAAGGACUAAAUAUAGUUAUAGUGAGAAACUUAGAGGACCGAAAUAAAUCAAUUUUUAGUUAGAGGACUAAUCCGAUACCAAUUAAAUAGUUAGAGGACCAAAAAGAUAAUUUAGCCUCAUAUUUACUUAAAUAGUCCGGCCUAAUAGGCCUAAAAGGCUUUUAGAAUGACAUGUGGUCUGACCUUUUAAGCUAAAUGGGCUUCUAAAAAAGUCUAGGCCUUCUCUGUUUAGGAAAAAAGUAUGAUCUGGCCUAGCCUAUCGUAUGUAUGCUAGGUCGUAGGCCCCUGUAGGCUGGCCUGACCUAUUCCCAUCCCUACUGACCAUACUCGGAUCACUAAGAUAUUUUUCUCACAAAGAUAGAGAUAUAAGACCGAAAAACACAAUUACGUACACUUAUUCGUAAAACAAUCUUACGUACACUUGUUUGUAAAAUGAGAUCAACCAUGAUAAUAAACAUGUUUUAAUUUCAUAAACAUAUUUAACAUUUUUUUUUAUCACAUCAUUAAACUAUCAUAUAUUAAUUUAUUUAUUUUUUCAUCUUUAUUUUUAAAGCAUACUCCUUUCGUUUUAAAAUAUAAGUAAAUUUUACUUUUUAGGUUCAUUUAAAUAAUGAUGUAUAUGGUUUAUAAUAUGGGUCACAUACAUCAUUAAUUGAAUGAAUUUAAAAAGUAAAAUUUACUUAUAUUUUGAAACGAAGGGAGUAUACAAAAGAUUUUCCAAAUGAGAUAGAAAGAUUUUUCUUUUCAAAUGAAUGAUUGAUCCCAUAUUUAGAGAAGGGGCUAGUUGUUUCCUAUGCAACUAACAAAAUAGACCACUCAUCUGAUAACAAGGAAGUGAGAAGAAUUCACAGAACACUUGGAUAGGUCAUUCAAAAAAAAAAAAAACUAGCAUAAGUCAUUUGGUGCCGCCAUUCAAUUAAUUCAUUUCAUACCGACACUUUGACAAUAUUGAGGCAUCAAAUGCAAUCGUUUUUUAUUUUAUUUUCUAUGAUUAAAAUCGACAUUGUUUUUUGGUGAGAUUCGCAAGUGGCAAGCCACGUAACUGUACAAGUUCAACAUGCAUUUGACUUUAGCAAAACAAAUUUCAAUCUUAGAUUAGAUCACGUGUUUGUUUUCAUUUGUUAGAAUCCAUUUUUCUAGUGUAGUAUCCGUUUAAGAGGAAAUGAAUUUUUAAAGUGAAAAUCUCUCUAACUUUUCUCAAUUGUUAUAUUAAAAUCAUUAAACAUGAAAGAGAAAAAGAGAUAUAAAAUUAUAAAAAAAAAAAUAUUAAACUUAUGUUUUAGAUGUAAUAAUUGAGAAAAAUUAAAACCGUUUCAAUUUUUUUUUUAAAUGGCCAAAUAUUAUUAACCACUAAUAAGCUUGGGUGGUAAAAAAUACAAAGAUUUAUUUCCACAUUAAGAUGGUUGUAGGUUUUUGGGUAAAAUAUGUUUUAAUCAGUCUAAAUAUAUGUGCUUUCAAUUUUAGUCUUACAUAAUUUUAAUAGUAAUUGUAAUUGGUCCUUCAUGUCAAAUGGGUUGCUAUUUGAGGCUUUGAGCUAAAGGAAUUUGAGGGAUUCUUCCAUGCUCACAAGACCAAAUCAAUAGUGAUUGGACAUAAACGCAAAAAGAUGGUCUUUAAAAUAUUCAAUAUUUAAUUAUUCUUUUGGUCCCUUAACUUAUUUUUUGGUUUCGUUUUGGUACCUUAACUAUUAAAAGUUUUAUUUUGGUCCCUUAACUUAUUUUUUGCUUUCGUUUUGGUCCCUUAACUAUUAAAAGUUUCAUUUUGGUCCUUUAACUUACUUUUUGGUUUUGUUUUGGUCCCUUAACUCAUCCUCUGUCAACCACUUUGGUCUUUUAUAUUAGGAUGAAUGUAUUAGAGUUAAGGGACCAAAAUGAAACCAAAAAAUAAGUUAAGGGACCAAAACGAAACCAAAAAGUAAGUUAAAGGACCAAAACGAAAUUUUUAAUAGUUAAGGGACCAAAAUGAAACCAAAAAAUAAGUUAUGGGACUGAAACGAAACUUUUAAUAAUUAAGGAACCAAAACGAAACAAAAAAAUAAGUUAAGGGAUCAAAAGAGUAAUUAAGCCUUUUUUUUUUUUAUCAAUUUCCUCUUUAUUAUUAAAAAACUAUUCUUUUUGUUUGUGUGUCAAACACUUUUUAUUUGGUCAUGUGACCAUAUUAAAAUUUCUCAAGGAAUCAUGACUAGAUACGCCUCGUGGACAUUUUGAUUGACGUACGGUGUUGACUCGUGAAUAAACAUUAGACUCAAUUGUUAUUUCAUAUAUGUAUCAUCGAAAUUUUAGAGACAUUGUUUUAAAACUUACUCUGAUUCAUCAAUUUAUACUUUUUUAAUUUAAACUAUCAUAUGUUUAUUUUAAAAAAAAAUCAUGAAAUAAAAAAAUUAAAAAAAAUAAAAACUCAUGACCAUAUUCUCGAAUCCCAAGUUCCCAAUUUCUUCUACCUAAUUCCAUGAAUAAUAUGAGUGUUUCACAUAUAUGAGUUUGAUUAAUUUUUCACAGUAUUGGGUGUGAGGAAUUUUUCAAGCACUACCGACAAAAGAAAUAGAGAUCACUUCGUCGUUACUUUGCACAACAAUGUCUUAAUCAUUCUAAAAAAACACUCUUCAUAUCUUUAAAUUUAGGCAUUUUCAUGGAAAAGUGAUGUUUGUCUUUAGAAAGUGUACUAAAUUGUCGUUAAGUAGUAAAAUUUAUAAGUUAGUAUCGAUGUAGAUUGUGAAAUCUCAAUUUAACUACUACGAUAAUAGUUUGGAUAUAUACAAUUGGGGGGUGUUUCACUUGGCAAUGGUUGGAUUAACUGUUCUUUAAAGAAAAAGGUAAGACACUGAUUAGGUCAUGAUAGAUCUGCUUCUCUUAAUUACAUAGAAACUUGCCGCCUUGGUUGCAAUUGUUCGAAUAGUUUAGUUUCACGACAUUUGAUCAAAAUAGUUAAGUUAAUUUUUAGUUCACUAACCUUUUUCUCUUGUUACGACCCCCUAAUGUCUUAUGUGAAACUAUAUCAAUUGAAGGCUUGAUUAUAUGCCAAAUUAUUAUCACAAAGCAGUUAGCUCAAGCCCCGAAGCUAAGGUUAGUGGUCAUCGAGACCAAAAUUAGUUUAUGAACAUUCAUAAUCGUAUAAAAAAGCAUUAAGAACAAUUAUAGCUGAAUAAAACCAAGCAAUCAUUUGUAAUCAAAAAACUUUUAUGGUUCGGAUUUUGGGAUAAGGGAGAGAGAGAAAGUGAAAAGUUUAAAUGUAAAACUGUAAAAUGCGGGGAAGGAUGAUUUUUCUUAUAUAUAUCAAAACGAUUCAGAUUAUAUAAUCUGAACCAGUUUUCGUAUUAUUUUAAAUUUCAAAAUCUGAAGGGUAGUUUUAGAAUUUUUAUAUGGUGCGUGGGUAUCUCAUAUUGUAGGAAAAGUAAUAGUCCUAAAAUAUUAUUGGUAGAAAAAUGUAUUGGGCCAUGGGAAAAAAGUUGGACUUUAGUGAAAAGAGUAAUAGAUUGUAAUCAAUUUAAAAAGUAUAUUUAUUUAUUAAUUAAUUAUUCGGUUCAACCGGUUUAAUUAGUUGAACCAUAAACCGGAGUCUUACUGGUUUAAUCUUCGGUUUGGUUUUAAAAACAUUAAUAUAUAUAAUAAUAAUAAUAAUAAUAAUAAUAAUUGUACCAAAAAAAAUAAAUAAUAAUAAUAAUAAUAAAAGUAGUUUGACGACCCAAGAUGACCAAAGACUGACAACACCACCAAAAAGAAUCAAACAAAAAAAACACCAACAUAAAAAAUAAAAAUAAAAACAUCCCAAUGACCCAAACCAAAAGCAGAAUGGACCAGGUCAACUACACCAAAGAGAAAGAAACAUAGGCACCCAGACAAGCCCCCCAAAGCACCCAUACAAGCCCCCCACAUAGCAACUACCGGCUCAAGUAGAGAAUUGCUUCCACCACUCACUCAUAGUGAGGGCAAGGCGAACCAAGGUGGGACUUAUAAAAAAAACCAAUAACACAAAGAGAACUGGGUCUUCAGAACCAAUUCCUCCACAUCUAGAAUCUUACCGACAAACACAAAAUCAUUAAUGUAACAUGUGUCACAUUGCGUGAAUGUUGUAAAUUUUAAGUACUAAUUUUGCUUUCUAUUCAUAAAAAUUGUGACCUUUAACCGAAAAAUUGUGAUAUAUUAAAAAUAUGUAUUAAGAACAGGGCUGACCCAAGCUAUAGGCAAAUUAGGCAUUUGCUUAAGGCCUUGAUUUUUUUUAUUUUUUUUUUACCUAUUAUGCAUGGUACCAAUUUUUUUUAGCGAAUCUCAUAUUUAUUUAUGGUGAUAAAAAAUUUAAGAGAAAUAAUACAAGUUGUCGAAUGAUAUAGCGAUUGAUUUGCUUAAUUUUAUAGAAAGACUUGGUUUUUUUCCAGAUGUGUAUAUUGGUUAUAGAAUAUAAUGUUAACAAUUCAUAUAAUUGUUGUGUCUGCAAAUUUGAAUUUGUUUUACUGUCGAUUCAAAAAGAAUUGUUAAACUAAACCGAUUACAAUAAUUUUGCAUCCAAAAAAAAUCGAAAUCACUUUGAAUAAAAAUAUUAUUUUUGUAAAAAAAAUAUAUAAUUAAUAAUUUCUUUUUUGUACAAACCAUGCUCCAUUUUAGAUUUCGCGUUGAGCAUCAAUAUGUGUUGGAACGGUCCUGAUUAAAAAAGUUUUAUGCUAUGUAUUUUUUUACCAGUGAAUUAUAGAAAUCUCAUCCAUAAAUUUAAAAAGAGAGGUAAUAAGACAAGAUAACACAUUCAUCAUUUUUUGGAAAAGCUUAUCAUCAUUACAAAUACAUAGUCUGAUGCAAAUUUAUACAUGAUUUCUCCCGAAGAAAUAUCUAUCUAUACUAUAUAGUGGCAAGAUAGAUAAAUACACCAUUAUAUCAACACACAACAUUAUUUUUAUUCAUGAAAUAUAUUACUGAGAAAGAGUGCAUGGUGCAUGAAGAUAGAUAUCAUUAUGAUCAGUUUUGAGUUUUGUCCUCAGUUUGCUCGGCACCGUGACCACCGUGACCACCUCCACCGUGUCCUCCGUGUCCACCUCCACCGUGGUUGUAACCACCUCCACCGUGGUGGUAACUACCUCCUCCAUGGUUGUAACUACCUCCACCAUGGUUGUAACUUCCACCAUGGUUGUAACUACCACCACCAUAUUUGGCAUCAUUUACUUCAUUAGUCUUUUCCUCAGUUUGCACGGCAACAGAUUCAGCAGCACCGUGACCACCAUGACCUCCUCCACCAUUGUAACCACCAUGACCUCCUCCACCAUUGUAACCACCGUGACCUCCGUGGCCUCCACCACCAUUGUAACCACCUCCACCAUGGUUGUAACCACCUCCACCGUUGUGGUAACCACCACCACCGUUGUGGUAACCACCACCGUGGUUAUAACCUCCACCAUUGUAACCACCACCGUGGUUAUAACCACCAUGGUUGUAGCCUCCAUAUUUGGCAUCGUUUACUUCAUUAGUCUUUUCAACAACUUCUGCAAACACAAUAUAUGAAUCAUUACUUUAUUUAUAAUUAACUAGAAAAGAAUUUAAAAAAUAUAGAAAAUGCUUGUGAAAGUAUUUAUAAAGAAAAAUAAUAUAUAGCUCACCCUUUUUGGCAUCAGUGGAAGUUUCAGUUAAUUCCCUAGCAGACAUCACUGAGGAAAUAAGAGCCAUAGCCAAGAGGCCUAGCAUGAGGAUUGCCUUUUUUGAAUCCAUUGUUCAAACUUUGUUCAAAUGUGAUAUUUAGUAGUGAACUAUGAUAAAACUAAGUAAGAAGUGUGCUCUAUAUAUAAUGGAGGAGUGAAGUAGGGGACCUUUACUUGGUAGUUGAGAUGGUAGCUAGUGUGUAUUAAUUCAUUACUUUUUAGAUUCACAAUGUAUCUAGUUUAUAUGAUAGGCUAUAUACAUCUUUUAUACAAUUAAUCAAAAAAAUGAAAUUUUAUUUAUAAUAGUGAUCGAAUAGUGUAUAUAUCUAUAAAUUUUAAACUAAAAUAGUUGUUUGAUGAUUUCGAUACCAUUUAUUUUGACUACUUCCUUCGAUCCAAAAUAAAUGAUCUUGUCGAUUGUUUUAAGCAUAUCAAUGCACAUCUUUGAUUUUUAAUACUCUCUUCAUCCUAGAUUAACUGAGUCAUUUGCUCAUUCACACAUAUUAAGAAAAAUGUAUAAAUGAAGGAGAUAAAAAAAUGAUUAUAAGUGUUUUUGUUAUGUAUUUGUGCAUUCUCCACUAUCAUAAAUGCAAAGUAUAAUAUAUUGAAUUGAAAGUGAUGAAAGUAGUAUUAAUUAGAAGAAAAAAUAAUUAAUAUUGUAUUGAAAAAUGAAAUGAAUCAAUUAUUUUAAGACAAUAUUUUUUUACAAAAAGUUCAGUCAUUAUGAGACGGAGGAAGUAUUAUUUAUUUAUGUAUUAACAAAAAAACAUAAAUAAAAAUUGAUAUUUUAAAAAUAUUCAUUGAGACAAAUAAAAAAAUAUCUUAUAUAUUAUCAUUUGUCUUUAUAUAAUAGUAAAAAAAAAAAAAAAAACUAAGUGAAUAAUAGACAUAGUCAAAUAAUUUCAUAAUUGAGAGAGUUGUAAAGAUCGAAGGCUAUGAAAAUGGUGAUGAGUUAGGUCUACUUGCUAUUGGCUGAAAGUGACGUUUUGAAAGCAUGCUAUUGGUUCGUACUAACUAUCUCAUCCCAUGGAGAUACAUACAUUCAAACUUAUCCAAACAAAUUCAAAAUAUGUUUUCUAUAACUAAACAAAAUUAGCAAAAGAGUAUUACAGAGGUACACUCGAAACUUUUUAAAGAACAGUGUUAUUGAAUACCACUCCUUUCAAUUAGAUACAUAUCACAUUUUAUUGAUGAUAUAAAUGUUUAUUAUAAAUAAGAUUAGAUGAAGUAGCCGUUAACAUCUUAUAAUUAUAUUUGCUUGAAAUGAUUACACAAAUUAAGAAACAAACUAUGUUUCUCAACUAUAGGUUCUUUAAUUACUCUAAAUAGUAAGAAAAACAUAAGUUUUUCUGAGGGAGUAGGAAAAACAUAAGUUAAAAGCUUAAUACAACUCAAAUUCCUAGAAUCCCUCGGCUAUGAGUGGAAAGCUUUCGUUUGGUGGAUUUGGAUCCUCUUUAUUGAAAAUUUUCUUCAAUUUUCUCCAUUUUCAAUCUUCACCAUUAAAAUACAACUACUAUUUGUUAGUAUAAUUUAAUUAUCACUUUCUCUCUCAUGAUUGAUGGUUGAGAUUUUACAUGAAAAAAUUUGAGAGAAUUUUCAAUGGAGAGAAUCCUAAUCCUCGUUUGGUUUGGUUUUUUUGGCUCAUAUAUUCAAACCAAGUAAGAAUAAUUCAUUUGUUUUGACUUGGAUUUUACAAAUUUUUUAUUAAAUCCAAAUGAAAGUUAAGUGAUUAAAAAUGGGCCAGCUUGCCUCAAAUAAUCACUCAAGUUGAUAUUUUAAAAUUUAAUAUUUUUUAUAAAUUUUAAAAAAUUAAGUUUUCUUUAAGAAUAUUAUAGAUUUUUUAACAUUAUUUUUUUUAUCAGAGGGAAAUAAAAGACACAAAAGAAAAAAAAAACUAAACAACUCAUUGUCUAAACACCCCAAAGACAUCAGCAAGCAAGUCCAGAUCCAACUCUUUAAGAGGGGAAUUGUAACACCCCGUUUUCCCAAUAUAAAAAUUUCAUAAAUUAAUCAGAGUAAAACACCUUAAACGGAAUAUUACACUUCUUUUCUUAAAAACAUAAAUGGAAUAAUUAUCCUUCAAAUUUCAACAACGUAUUGUCAUACCCCAAUUUUUGACCUAAGGCCCCACUGACACAUGUCACUUGACUCUGAUCGAUCUCUGAUUUUUCAGUGAAAAAAUUCGGCAGGGAGGUAUUUUAAAAUACCUUAUUUUUGAUUCCGAGUCGGACCCUCUUUUCUCUUUUUAUUUUCUUUCUAUCUUUUAUUAAUUUUAAUUUUAAGAUUAGUUACUUUUUUAUAUUUAAUAAUUUUUAUUUUCCAUCUUUUAAUUUUAUUUUUCUUUACAUAAUUUAGUUUAAUUUGUUUUUAUUUUAUUUCGUAUUAGAUUUAUUUUAUUUUUAUUUUUCUUUUUAAUUAAUUAGUGUCCAAAAAAAAAAAACAAAGUGUCAAUAGGUCCAAAAUAAAAUGUACAAGGUCUAAAAAAAUUCAAGUCAAGUGUCAACUUUAACAUUUCUUUUUCAAAAUUCACCAUAAUUGUCCAUCAUUUUCAUUAAACCAAUUUUCCAUUUUUCAUCAACCUCCUCACCUAUAAAUAGAGCCCUCAUUCCACACAAUUUCACACACCAAAAGUUCUCUUGAGUUGUCAAAGAACUUUUCUCUCUUCUCCCUCUUUAGCUUGUGUUGACGAGCUAUUCUUUUCUUCUCCCUCUUUUUUCUGUCCCUUCGGAAUAAGUCCCUUCGGUAAUUUUUGUCCCUUCGGUUGUCAAUUUCUUUUAUUUUCUUGAAUUUUAUUUCUUUUUAGUAUUUUUGCAUUUUUUUUUAUUUCUAUUUAGCAUUUUAAUUAUUUUUAUUUAUUUUCCAGCAAUUAGAAUGUAUUUAGGUCCAAUGUAAAUAUAAAUGAGAAAAGUGUGUGGGUGUGUGUGUCCUUUUAUUUCUUUACCGCCUUAUAUAUAUCCAAAAUUGCAAAAAAAAAAAUAGAUCAGGGAUUUUGUGGUGAUCCAACGUCACUACAAAAAUCCACGCGCUUUUAUUUUUAUUGCUCCGUUAGUUUAAUUUUUAUUUAAUAUUCCAAAAAAACAACAAAAAACAUGCAAAUAAUCAAAAUCACAAAAAUAUUUUCAUAAUAAACCUUGAUCCAAAUCAAGUGACCGCAUUUUUAUUUUCUUUUCUCCAUCAAACUUCAAUCAAUUUAACUUUACUUUUAAGUCUCUUUUUUCAAUAUUAAAAAACACAAACAAAUACUCAUUUGCCACUUGGCUUUUCAUUUUAAAACCUUUUUCAAAACUAAUAAAAAACACUCAACAAAUCAAACGUCAAUUUCUACCCCGAACUACGAGGUUUUGAUCCCUCACGGGUACGUAGGCAGAGGACCAUGUCCUUCCAAAUCAAUAAAAAAUGUAGAUAAUUAGGUCUUUAUUUUUAUCAGUUUAAUUCAUUCUUUUCAAAAAUAAUAAGCAAGUUAUAGCACAUUAAUUAAAUAAAAUCAAGAGGUUCUCGUAGAGUACUACGAAUAUUUAGGGUGCUAAUACCUUCCCUAAAUAUAACCAACCCCCGAACCCUAAAUCUCUCAAUAUGGGGUGUUUUGAACUUUUUUCACCUUUUUCUUAAAAAAUAAAAUGUUCAGUCGUGAAAUAAUUAGCGAGUCAAAAGCUAAUCAAAUAGCCUUGAUCUCCGAAAAAUGACGCGACAGAAAUGGCGACUUCACUGAUGAUGCCCUAAGAGGGUUGAGCCUAACUUGGCUUUAUUUAAUUAUUUGUGCUAUAACUUGCUUAAAACAAAAAAUAAAAAUGAUGGAAAUACUUGUAUAUUUGUUCUCUCUUCUUCUUUCUUCUUUCUUCUUUCUUAAACGUGAGUGGUGAGAUAAGUUCUACACCCGGACUUGAGAGAAAUAUAAGAUAGGAGUGGUAGACUCAUAGUGGCAUACCGGGAGUAUACUCGUGUCUAGUCACAUGUGAGAUAACCACACUUAGCGGAGGAGCUUGAAGUGAUAUAUGUCGGCGUGUGUUUUCACGUUUAGACUUUAUUACUCUUAAGUUUCCAAUGAAGCUAAGGACCUUUAGUAACCCUUAACCCAUCCUGGCCUUUUAGGACGUAGUGCGGUGGCUAACCGGAUGUUUUCUCGAAACUAGUCGACACGCGAUACUACACUCAAAUGAGACUUUCCUACGAACGUUGUUGGACCGGGUGUUUUCUCGAUAUCCGAUAAUAUUCGGAAGUAGUCGAGGACUUUGGGAACUUGGUAGAACCCGUGAUACAGGUACAUUUGAAACCAUAGUCCCUACCAAAUGGCGUUGUUAUCCUUAAGCUCCAACAUUAUGGACUUAACCUCACCAUGCAUUCCAUGUUCCUUAGCAUAAUCAUGCAUACAUGCAUUCAUUCAUAAAACUUUUGUUCUUCUCACUAAUAUCGAAGGACUUAGAUAAGUUCUUGUAAACAUCAAUGAUAUGGACCUUGUAAGAAGGAACACCUACAACUUCAAAAACCUUAACUAAGCUUUAGCUUUUGUUAAGAAUUUUUUCCUUGGUUUCGUUCUUACUUUUGAAAUGGGAACCAAUUGCAACAUCUUCACAAUUUUCAAAUAAAACAAUGUUCCUUAUCAAGUUUACAAUUACUUUGACAAGUCCUUCAAAAAAAACAAAUGUGUCUAUUUUUGCAUAAGCAUAGCAUGCAUACAUAAUUUCAAGUCUGAGUCUUACACUGUGUCUUUUCUACUAAAGGUCAAUCCAUCUCAAAGGUGUCCCAACUGUCCUCGUCCAAAGUCAACUCGCACCUACAACACUCGGGCAAACAAAAAAAGAGAACGUAUCAGUUUGAACAAGAAAUCCACGAGCAUUCGUGAAGAGGUAACAACACUAUUGACGUUCCUUCCGCUACUUUUUGUUCAAUUAAUGUUUGUUUGUUGAUUUUCGCUUUUCAAAAAAAAAAAAAAAAAACAUCCUUUCGUCCCGCCUGAGAUGAAAUUGAUCUUGUGUAGGGCUUUUUGCUUUAAGUAUUGGUCAUCUUUAAUAAAAAGGUCGUUUUAAUCCCGACUUUAUUUUAUUUUGUGCUUUUUCUGAAAAAUGGUAAUACAAAAAACCAAAAAGAAUUUCUUUAAUCAUUCGCAUAUAUCUGCAUAAUCAUAGCUUGUACUUACUUGUCAAAAUCAAUAAUCAAAUCAUGCAUUAAUAAACCCGUUGAACAUAAUAACCAUGUACUCUCUCCCAACUUUGAGUUCUCUGUGACCGAAGAUAAGGAAGAGGAGAAUGAAGAGGCUCCCAGCAAGAUCUCUCGCCCACUGAGGCAUCUUAGCCGUCAAAGCUGCAAACAAAAUAUCAAAGAAGAUUGUCCAAAAAAAUUGCUUUCAUUUACAAAGACUGGCACGAGAUGCUACCACUUGCACUUCAUGAGUAUUGUCCGGUAGUACACACUUCAACAGGGGCAACCCCCUCCUUCCCUCAAGUAUAUAACUUAAAGGUCGUGCUUCCUAUGGAGGUCGAAGUCCCAUCAAUAGGAGUUCUGCUGGAGUCCCAACUUGAUCGAACUAAAAUGUGUGACGACCUUGUGCAUCUAUAUCAAAAAGAGGUUUGAAACAAACUUCCAACAAGAAGGUUUGUCCCCGUGAAACUCAAGAAAGAGACUUUGUGCUCAAAAAGAUACUAUCUUUCCAACCAGACUCCAGGAGCAAGUGGACGCCUAACUAUGAAGGCUCAUGUGCAAUGAAUUUUACAACUAUGGAUGGUGACAAACUUGCACUUCCUAUGAAUGUCGGUGUAGUCAAGAAAUACUCUGUCAAAUAUAAAAGCUCGAUAAGUCGCAAACCUGAAAAGGCGGCUUAGGCAAAAAUGAGCGUCUCGGUGGACUGAAAACCCAAAAGGGUGGUCCAGGCAAAAGUUAGAGACAUGAACAAAAAAGAUUAUCCUGAUAGACCGCAAACCCGAAAAAACGAUCUAUGCAAAAGUUAAGGAUCAAAAGACAAAGUAACUGCAUCCGGUCAGGCACAGUCCACUUGGGGCAUCCAGCUAUCAAAAGACCGCCGAUACGAAGCAUCUGCAGAUCAAAGACUCGAAACAGGGGCAUUCAAAGUUGUUAGGGAGAAUAGCUGUUAUUGUUUUCAAUGUACCAUCCCAUACAUUUACCAUUUUCCAAAUCUUUCAAAGAUCCGUGGAGCCAUGCCAUUGGUAGGUCACCACUCAAUUCAUCAAAUUUGAUCCUAUGCCUAUUUGUUUGGAACUCUCAUUUAUUCUAUUUGCAAAAUUUCUUCUACUUUUUAUGGCAAUACUUAAAGCAAAAAUUUUCAAAAAAAAAAAUACAAAAACUUUUUUUUACAUCUUUUGAAAAGUGUGAACAACAAACACACUCUCUUUGAACUCAUGAGUAGAUGAAGCAUACAUCAACAUCCGCCUCGAAGACGGUUACAUUCCGAAAGAGAAACAUGGCUAAGCGUUAUGGAAAGAACCUCUGCCUUGAACAAGAUGUUGUCACAGUCAAAAAAAAUAUAUACAAAAAAAAAAAUACAAAAAAAUCAAAGCUCGCUAAGUUGAAAACCUGAAAAGGUGGCUUAAGCAAUAGAGAGCGUCCCGGUGGACUGAAAACCCGAAAGGGCGGUCCAGGAAAAAAUUAGGGGCACAAAAAAGAAUAUAAUCCCGGUGGACUGAAAAUCUGAAAGGACGGUCCAGGCAAAAGUUAGAGAUUUUUUUUUAAAAAAAUGACUGCUGAAACAUACCAAUGGAGGAACACUCUGUGCCAGUUCACAAAUGGCGACUUCUUCCAGACUUUUUAUCAACGAUGGGCUUUACCCCCAGGAGGCAUCAGUUGCUCCUUGUGUCGGGUCUUACACCGUCAACGGCUCGUUUUGUUCACAAUAAUAUCAUCUCCAAUGAAGUUUGCCGAGUGCUUGUGCUGCGAUAUCAGUUCGCCUCCAAUCUUACAUGUCCUGUCUCGUUUCAUCGAGUCACUUGUCACAUAGAGUUUAUAUAGUCAUGCAAGUUGUACAUUCAUAACAUUUGUACAUUCAUAAAAUUCGUACAUUCAUACAUUGAUGCAUACACCAUAUAUAUAUACAACAUCAUUCACACAUGAUUGCAUUAGUCACCGAGAGUCUUGUUUAGCCGUGUCUCUUUGGUUAAUCCUGACCCAAACAGCAAGUGGCAGUUUCUUCAUAUGAACAGCUUGCAAUUACAAAUUCUUUUCCUCUCAAAAGUGUCAUCCCCAAUAUAACUGACCAAGUUGUCUUCUCUAAAUUUACCUUUGUUAAGCUAUCUUUGUGUGAUAUUUAGGUAAAACUUGUCAAUCGUCUUUAUUAAGUUAUCAUUUCAUCGAUAGUUAGACGAUGUUUUUCUCUCAUUCUUACCUUUGUUAAGCUAUCUCAUCGAUAGUUAGGUAAAAGUUAUCAGUCGUCUUUUUAAAGCUAUCAUUUCAUCGAUAGUUAGACGAUGUUUUUCUCUCAUUCUUACCUUUUUUAAGCUAUCUCAUCGAUAGUUAGGUAAAAGUAUCAUUUGUCUUUGUUAAGCUAUCAUUUCAUCGGUAGUUAGACGAUGGUUUUUCUUUCAUUCUUACCUUUGUUAAGCUAUCUCAUCGAUAGUUAGGUAAAAGUAUCAUUUGUCUUUGUUAAGCUAUCAUUUCAACGGUAGUUAGACGGUGGUUUUUCUCUCAUUCUUACCUUUGUUAAGCUAUCUCGUCGAUAGUUAGGUAAAAGUAUCAUUUGUCUUUGUUAAGCUAUCAUUUCAACGGUAGUUAGACGGUGGUUUUUCUCUCAUUCUUACCUUUGUUAAACUAUCUCAUCGAUAGUUAGGUAAAAGUAUCAUUUGUCUUUGUUAAGCUAUCAUUUCAACGGUAGUUAGACGGUGGUUUUUCUCUCAUUCUUACCUUUGUUAAGCUAUCUCAUCGAUAGUUAGGUAAAAGUAUCAUUUGUCUUUGUUAAGCUAUCAUUUCAACGGUAGUUAGACGAUGGUUUUUCUCUCAUUCUUACCUUUGUUAAGCUAUCUCAUCGAUAGUUAGGUAAAAGUAUCAUUUGUCUUUGUUAAGCUAUCAUUUCAACGAUAGUUAGACGAUGGUUUUUCUCUCAUUCUUACCUUUGUUAAGAUAUCUCAUCGAUAGUUAGGUAAAAGUAUCAUUUGUCUUUGUUAAGCUAUCAUUUCAACGAUAGUUAGACGAUGGUUUUUCUCUCAUUCUUACGUUUGUUAAGCUAUCUCGUCGAUAGUUAGGUAAAAAUAUCAAUCGUCUCUGUUAACCUAUCAAUACGAUAGUAGACAAUAAUUUUCCCCAGUGAAACUUCAUUCCCCUAGCAGAGUCGGACCCCUUUUUUCUUCAACGAAUUCGGGUAUCCCGUUGUUAUUUCUCAUUCGAGUCAAAUCAUCCUGCAUUCAUAAAUUGCAUCACAUGCAUCCAUAGCAUCUUAGGUCAAAUAUUGUGUACUUUGUAUUUAAGUCUCUUCGACUCGUCAAAUCAAAGAUUUCAUCUUCAAAUCUCCGGACGAAGAAACUUAAAUAGGGGCAUCUGUCAUACCCCAAUUUUUGACCUAAGGCCUCACGGACACAUGUCACUUGACUCUGAUCGAUCUCUGAUUUUUCAGUGAAAAAAUUCGGCAGGGAGGUAUUUUAAAAUACCUCAUUUUUGAUUCCGAGUCGGACCCUCUUUUCUCUUUUUAUUUUCUUUCCAUCUUUUAUUAAUUUUAAUUUUAAGAUUAGUUACUUUUUUUAUAUUUAAUAAUUUUUAUUUUUCAUCUUUUAAUUUUAUUUUUCUUUACAUAAUUUAGUUUAAUUUGUUUUUAUUUUAUUUCGUAUUAGAUUUAUUUUUAUUUUAUUUUUAUUUUUCUUUUUAAUUAAUUAGUGUCCAAAAAAAAAAACAAAGUGUCAAUAGGUCCAAAAUAAAAUGUACAAGGUCUAAAAAAAUUCAAGUCAAGUGUCAACUUUAACAUUCCUUUUUCAAAAUUCACCAUAAUUGUCCAUCAUUUCCAUUAAAUCAAUUUUCCAUUUUUCAUCAACCUCCUCACCUAUAAAUAGAGCCCUCAUUCCACACAAUUUCACACACCAAAAGUUCUCUUGAGUUGUCAAAGAACUUUUCUCUCUUCUCCCUCUUUAGCUUGUGUUGACGAGCUAUUCUUUUCUUCUCCCUCUUUUUUCUGUCCCUUCGGAAUAAGUCCCUUCGGUAAUUUUUGUCCAUUCGGUUGUCAAUUUCUUUUAUUUUCUUGAAUUUUAUUUCUUUUUAGUAUUUUUGCAUUUUUUUUUAUUUCUAUUUAGCAUUUUAAUUAUUUUUAUUUAUUUUCCAGCAAUUAGAAUGUAUUUAGGUCCAAUGUAAAUAUAAAUGAGAAAAGUGUGUGGGUGUGUGUGUCCUUUUAUUUCUUUACCGCCUUAUAUAUAUCCAAAAAUGCAAAAAAAAAAAAAUUAGAUUAGGGAUUUUGUGGUGAUCCAACGUCACUACAAAAAUCCACGCGCAUUUAUUUUUAUUGCUCCGUUAGUUUAAUUUUUAUUUAAUAUUCCAAAAAAACAACAAGAAAACAUGCAAAUAAUCAAAAUCACAAAAAUAUUUUCAUAAUAAACCUUGAUCCAAAUCAAGUGACCGCAUUUUUAUUUUCUUUUCUCCAUCAAACUUCAAUCAAUUUAACUUUACUUUUAAGUCUCUUUUUUCAAUAUUAAAAAACACAAACAAAUACUCAUUUGCCACUUGGCUUUUCAUUUUAAAACCUUUUUCAAAACUAAUAAAAAACACUCAACAAAUCAAACGUCAAUUUCUACCCCGAACUACGAGGUUUUGAUCCCUCACGGGUACGUAGGCAGAGGACCAUGUCCUUCCAAAUCAAUAAAAAAUGUAGAUAAUUAGGUCUUUAUUUUUAUCAGUUUAAUUCAUUCUUUUCAAAAAUAAUAAGCAAGUUAUAGCAUAUUAAUUAAAUAAAAUCAAGAGGUUCUCGUAGAGUACUACGAAUAUUUAGGGUGCUAAUACCUUCCCUAAAUAUAACCAACCCCUGUCAUACCCCAAUUUUGGACCGUUUAAAAACUCUUGUCCGUAUUUUAAAUUUGUUCACAUUCCCAUUUAUUCGUUGUUUUUUACCAUUUAAAGUUCGUAUUUCUUGUCUUUAGUCAUUCAAAAAAGUUUUUUUACGUUAAAUCAACGUUCGCGUUUCACAACGUUUAAAACCGUCUCACUUUCAUUUUUACGUCGCAUAGUCUUUUUUUUAAUCGUAACGAUCACGUCAAAAAAAGAGAAGGCCUAAUCGCUUUUUUUAAAAGGCGUUUUUUCUUAUUAAUCAUUUCAAUCGAAAUUUCGGCAGGGAGGAUACUUUGAAAUACCUCAUGUCAGAUUCCGAAGGGACUUUUUAUUUUUAUUUUUUUGUCUUUUUUAGUUUGUUUAUUAUUAUUUUAUUUUAUUAUUAUUAUUUUUUUUAUAAAAAAAAACAAAACAAAGAAAAGAAGAAGACAUACGUCUUCCCUUUCUUCUUUUUCUUUUUCUUUUCUUUUUCUUUUUAUUCAUUCUUUUUAUUUUUAUUUAUUUAUUUGUUAAGCCUUUGUCCCCAAGUCUCAGCUGCAGGGGCAUUUUGGUCAUUUGUUUGUACCAGAGCCAACCCUAAUUUGUCACUAUAAAAGCCUGUCAAUCAUUGGGAAAUGGGCCAGAGAAAAAAUUACUGUUCAUGAGUCAGAGAAAAACACUAUUCACGUCAGAAAAAGUCAGUCAACAGCAAUCAUACUCACAAACAAUCUCCAAACUUCUCUCUCCAAAAUUUUGGAUCAAAAACCCAAAAUUUCAUGAACUCACAUGAACCACAUCAAGAACACAUGAACCUCAAUCAUUUUCAGAAACACACAAUAACAACAUAAACACCUCAAACCAUUCAUACAACCACAAAUCAUCAUCAUUCCAAACAAAACAAAUCCGAACCAAAACAGAGCCAAACGAACCGGAGUAGAGGAGAGCCAACCGAACCGGAAAAGAACCGGAGCCGAACCGGAAACAAGGAAGAACACGCGAACCGGAAGAAGGAAGAAAAGGAGAGAACCGGACUCAAACUAGGAGGAAAGGAAACCGGAAAAAGAGGUAAAAAUUUCACGUUUUUCAUUUGUAGAUCUAGGAUUUUUGGUGUAUGUUUUCGAAAUUUUGAGCUUGGAUUUGUGUAGAGGAAGGGAAGAGGAGUAUUUUGAUGUAAAAAAAAAUUUCAAAAAAAGCAAAAAAAACUCCGGCGCGGCGGCGCUCCGGCCGACCGCCGCGCCGGAGCAGCUCCGGCCGCCCCUCUUCUUCUUCUCCGGCCGCGUGUGUUUUUGUGGGAGGGGAGAGCUUCUCUCUCUAAGUUGUAACUUAGAGAGAGAAAGUUUUUGUGUUAUAUUUGUUUUUUUGGUAAAACCCCUUUAUAUAGCCUCAUUACUUUAUUUUAAUUCCAUGCGUAUCGUUCCACUGUAUUAUCGUGUAUGAUCACAGCUAGACCGUCAGAUUGUAGAUCUAACGGUCGAUGAUGCAGCUUGUUUUUGGUUAAGUGUUUGUUCUUUUGGGUGGAAUAUUGUGUGCCUGCUGUUGAACCGUCAGAUCGUUGAUCUGACGGUCACUGUGCUUCCAGUAUAUCCUUCCUUUCUUGCUGUUUAUUUUUAAACCGUUGGAUCUUAGAUCCAAUGGCUAUGAUGAAUCCAGGGGUUUGAACUUGGACCAUUGAUUUAAUCCAAUGGUUCAGAAUUAAUCCUGCUGAGCCAAUUUGUUUAUUAUUUUCAUUUGUUAUUGUUUCUAUUUUUUAAAUGCUGUUUUUUUUUAUUUCUUUUUGACAUUUUAUGUUUAGAAAAAAAUUCCAAAAAAAUGUUUUUUUCUCACUAUUUUAAUUUUCUAUCAUUGUUAAAAAUCCAUCCUAUUUUUUUCUUUUAAUUUGUUUUUUUUUACUUAUUAUUUAUUAUUUCUUAUAUGAUGAUCUUAAAUGUUUUUUUUUAUUAUUUUUAUUUCUUGCUUAUUAUUUCUUAUGUCUCAUUCAUCAUAAUAUUUCUUGUGAUCACUAACCAUUUAAUUUUUGUCUUAGAUCAUAGCAUGCAUAUUAAAUUUUCUCAUCAUUUUAUCUUGUCAUUGGAUUAGUAUGUAUAAAUAGGGAAUUGAUGUAAUUUUAUUUCUUGCAUUUUAUUUUGGCAUAAAGGCCUUAGGGUUGUAUUUAGGAAUUGAUGUAAUAAUGUAGGUAACACAAGCACCGACACAUACACCGACACUACCACAUUUUAUUUACCGCUUUCCGUUAUUUUUUUUUUACGACGUUACGUUAGUUCUCACUGUUAGUUUAGAAAAAAUCAUUUUCACAAAAAAAUCAAAUAUGUCAAAUUCAAAAAUAUUUUUUCUUAGCAACAUUUUCCCUUUAUUUUCUUAAUCAAAUUUUUAAUCAAUUUUAAUUCAACUUCAAUCAUUUUCAAAAAUUUAAAAUCAAUCAACCUCACUCAUUUCUUUUAUCUCAUGCCUUGAGGCCUCUUUCUCUUCUUAAAACCAUUUUCAAAAAUCUUAAAAUCAACCUAACCCACCAAAGAAAUUUUUGAGUGGAACUACGUCGGUUUUGAUCCCUUUCUCAAAAGGGUACGUAGGCAGAGGACUCGUCCUUCCAAAUCAAAUAAAAAUAAACCAAAAACAUACUUCUUCUCCCUCCAUUCUUUCACUUAGACAUUAGGCAAUAAUUUUUCAAAUGAACAAGUAUUUUAGCACAAGAUAAUCUAGGUAAGAGGUUCCUACGGAAUACCGUAGAUGCUUAGGAUGCUAGCACCUUCCCUUCGCAUAACCAACCCCCGAAUCCAAAGUCUCGAAAAGGGUUUUUACUCAUUUUUUCCCUUCCCAAGAAUAAAAAUCGAGAGUUCAAAGAUUGACGAUUCAAAUCAAUUAAUGGUUUGAUAUCCAAAAAUCGCGAGCACAGAAAUGGCGACUUACCCCCGAACCCUAAAUCUCUCAAUAUGGGGUGUUUUGAACUUUUUUCACCUUUUUCUUAAAAAAUAAAAUGUUCAGUCGUGAAAUAAUUAGCGAGUCAAAAAUCUAAUCAAAUAGCCUUGAUCUCUGAAAAAUGACGCGACACGUAUUAAUCAAAACUUUGUAGCAGAAUUAAUUCAACGACAAUAAAAGCUCUAACAACAUGUUUCAAAAUUGAUACAUAAAGGAAUGAUAAACAUCGUAACAAUUUCCCAUCCUGUUACGUAUCAGAGCCCUAAGACACUUGAGCCACCUCUCCUACUAAGCUUCAUUACCUGCAAGUUACCCAUACGAAGGGCAACAUUUUCAAGCAGAAGGGGUGAGAUCUCUCAAACAAUAAUAAUAAGCAUAUAAUUCAUCAAUUACAGUUAACAACAUAGACAUCAUCAAAUCCACCCAAUAAUAAUUUUUCUUAACAUCCCCUUAGUACUCAUGAAUAGAAGACAACUUAGCCACUAUGCAUCAACGUUAUCAAUUCAUAACAAUAAUUAUUCAUCAACCAUCUCAUUAGCAAAACAUGAAUAAGGAACAACUUAUCAACUUAACAUAAUCAUCAUUAAGUACAUUUAACAACUCAUAGAUAACAUCAUGUAACAUCAAAACAGCCUCUCAUUCAACACUAUAAACAAUCAUCAUAACAUCGUCAUAAUCAUCAACAUAAACAACGUAAGAGUACACCACCUCUUAUAAACAACAACGUAAGAGUACACCAUCUCUUAUAAAACGACCAAGUAAGAGUACACCACCUCUUAUAAAAAAAACGACAAAGUAAGAGUACACCACCUCUUAUAAAACGACCAAGUAAGAGUACACCACCUCUUAUAAAAAAAAACGACAAAGUAAGAGUACACCACUUCUUAUAAAACGACCAAGUAAGAGUAGUACACCACCUCUUAUAAACAACAAUGUAAGAGUACACCACCUCUUAUAAACAACAAUGUAAGAGUACACCACCUCUUAUAAAACACCUGACAUAAACAAUCACCAACGAUGGCUACAACUACGACAUCAACAACAACACCAACGAUGAUGACAACAUCGACAAUUUGCAUAACAUACUUAUGACUUAUUCGGCAACGUACAACCCAACAACGCUUACAACUUAUACCAACAUUAGAUCUUCAUGAUAUUAAUAUGUCACAACCGCAAGACAACACCAUUAAAUAAUAUGCAGCAAGUCAACAUUAAUAAUAAUCAUCAUAUAUAACAAUUACAAUUUCAUAUCAACGUCUUUCACAAUAUAUAAAUAUUUUCACAUUUAAUCAUCAAAGUAAAUCAUCAUUAUUAAUCAUCUUGUUCAUCCUCUCUGAACCUCAUUAUAAUCAUUAACAACUUCAUUCCAACCCCAAGGGUCGACUCACAACAUAAGUUACAUACUCUUAAACACCCUAAUUGAACUCAUAGUACUUCUAGUUUUGAGCUUUGGAAUUAUCCCAUAAGUUUUGGAUUAACUUAGAAACGGUUAUACUGAAUUUUCAUAAGAUUUCACUAAGACCUCCUUGGAGUAUUUUCAUCAUAUCUCAAAAACAAAAAAUCAUUUUCAAGUGAAACCAAAGCCAUUGGAAAGCUAACAAAAUUAUCUACAACUUUCAUGUUUACACCAAAGGUCAACUCAAAACAGAAACGUGUGAAAAAGACGGAAGAACAUGAAACAGGGUAAGCAUCAGACAUACUGAAAUUUACAGAUUUUCUGUCAAAAUCGCCUCACGAUCACUGGGAUCGCCUCACGAUUUUGACAGCAUCAUACAUGCUGAUAUUACAGAUUUUUCUGCGAUUUUCUACCAUGGGAGCCUCCUUGACUCCGUUUUUUAACCCUAAACUCUCCAAAAUCAUCCAUAAUCAUCACCAUAUGAUUACCCUAUCAUUGAAACGUUAAUCCAUCACUAACCUACCCGAUUAACCACUCUUUUCACCGUUCCAUUAUAUGGUUUCUACACUUUUCAUUCAAAAGUCAAUAAUCAAAACCUAAUCCCAAUUCUCAAAUUUAACCACAACCCCUUGCUAAAUCAAAAUCAGAAUUAUACAAACUAUAAUCAUUGAGAGUUAGCCUCACCCUUACCUUAGAUUGAUGAACAAAGCUCUACACGAUCUUCUCUUGGAUACUAUUGGCUCCCUCUUGGUUUUUCUCCCAAAAAGCUGCUUCCACGUGAAAAUGUUUUCUGACUUCCCUCUUUUCUUUUCUAAACCUAAUUCAACUUCUUCUAUUUCCGCUUAAUCCCACACAACUCUCCUUAUUUCUAAAUCAGCCCCUUGAACUCCAAAUAUUCUAAAUUCCCACUUAUUCUAUUAAAUAGUAAAAUAACACAUUUAAUAAAAUAUAACACACCACAUAAUCAACAAUAAUUAUUUAAAAUCAUAUAUAAAAAGACUUUAAAUCAACCAAUAAUAAUUAAAUAAAAUUGGGUCGUUACAGGAAUCCCAUAACUUCGUGACGUCGACAUUCUUUACACUUAAUUAUCAAUCAAUCAACACAUUAGAUGUCUUCUCUUAAAGUAUGAUUAAAGAAAACCAACCAAAAAAGACAAAUGGACUUCCUAAUGAGGGAAUAUAAGUUGCAUGAGGAUGGAAAUCCUUAUGAUGGAAAUCAGUGAUCAAGUCUAACGCUGACUUAGUUAUUCUUAUACUAUUAAAAUAAGUAUACAGUUACAAUGAAAAAAGAUAAAAUAUAAUGACUAAAAAAUACAUGAAAUUAACAUAUUUGUAAUAUAAAACUAUUAAUAGGGCAUGAUAUUUAACAAUAAGGAAAAAUCAAUCCUUCAACUUCCGGAUAAACUUAAGUUGUUUUCUUUUUGGUGGUUGAAGGCAAAUUUAUAUGCUAAUUUUAUUUUAGGUUAUCAUAGUUGAUGGAUUUUCUCUUUUGUUUGCUUGGGUAAUGGUUAAUUUCUUUAUGUUUUGUUUUGAUAGGAAAAUGUUUGUUUUGGUAGUAAUAUGUUUUAUUUUUCCUUGUUUAAAAAGAGAUAUAGUAUGAAAUAUAAAUAAUUAGUGAUAAAAUAUAAUAUUUUGGUUCGAUUUACAGGUGAUUUGUUUUAAAUGAUCUGAAAACGAUAUUCAAACAAUAGUGAUCAAAUUUGAUUAGUGUGUGUGAUUCAGGUUAUACAUACAUGAGCAUAAAAAACACCAAUUUAGUUUAUUUGCAUUGAAUGUUUGCAUUCUACGAGUUAUUGGUUUGAUUCUUACACCUCAUCAUAAACAAUAUAGCAUAUAAUAUUUAUUUAUUUUCCUCUUUGUAUUAAAGGGUAUACAAAACAUUUUUCAAAUGAGAUAACAAGAUUUUAGUUUUCAAAUGAAUGGUUGAUUCCAUAUUUAGAGAAGGGGCUAGUUGUUGCCCAUGUAAUUAAUAACACAAGGAAGUGAGAAGAAUUCACAGAACACUUGGAUAGGUCAUUUUCUUUCCAAAAAAAAAAAAAACUAGGAUAGGACGUUUGGUGCCCCCAUUCAAUUAAUUCAUUUCACACCGACACUUUGACAAUAUAUAUGCAUUCGAUUUUUUAUUUUAUUUUUUAUGAUUAAAAUCGACAUUGUUUUUUGGUGAGAUUUGCAAGUGGCACGCCACGUAAUUGUACAAGUUCCACAUGCAUUUGACUUUAGCAAACAUUAUCAAUCUUAGAUUAGAUCACGUGUUUGUUCUCAUUAGUUUGAUACUCCAUAAUUUAGAAUAUGUUUUUGUGGUGCAGUAUCUGUUUAGGAGGAAAUGAAUUAAGUGAAAAUCUCUCUUUAAGAUGUAAUAAUAAUUGAGAAAAACUGAAAUUGUUUCAAUUGAGAUUCAUUUCUCCAUUAUGAUGGUUGUAACUUGUAAUUUUUUUUUUUUUUUUGGGUAAAAUAUGUUUUUAAUUCAUAUAAAAAUACGAGAUUUCAAUUUUAGUCCUGCAUAAUUUUAAUAGUAAUUUUAAUCCGUACCGAAAUGAUUGUUAAGAUAAUUGGUCCUUCAUGUCAAAUGGGUUGCUAAUUGAGCUAAACGAAUCAUGACUAGAUACGCCAUGCAAUCAUUUUGAUUGACGUAAGUUGCUGACUCUUGGUUGUAAGAAAAACAUCAAAGGAGGUUGAAUUGUGUAGUAUUUCUUAGAAAUUUUAAGUUAAAAACCAUUCAUAGAAUUUUUACCAAAAAAAAAUCAAUCAUAGAAUGCAAAAGAUAAUCAGAGAUAAGAGAAAAGAAUGACACAUAUUUUCCCCGGUUCAUCCCACAAUUUGGGAUUACGUUAUGUCCCCUCACACAACAGAGAUUUUUUUUUCUCUCACUAUAAUCACAUAAGAUUACAAUUACUUGGACACACAAAUCUAAGAUUUCAUGUCUUACCUUGAGGACUUCUAAAUUUAGAAUUUACAAAUAAGAUUGAUAGUUAUUUACACUUUAGACUCAAAGAGCGGUGAAUGUGCCUUUUUUUUUUACAUUUUAUAUAUUCAAAAAAUCAGUUAGUUCGUUCGACUCACAAAUACAUAUCAACUAAACUCUCUUGUAAGGACUUGAAUCGAGUCCUAGAUUGCUCUUCAAGUCCAUUUGUUUGUGUUUUUGUACGAACAAUGGGGAUUUACCGCAAAAUCAGGGAGUGUUACUCAUUUGUGGUUGGUCGUACACUCCUUCUUCUGCACCUUCUUUAAUAUGCAUGGGAGGGGGUGCUUGCGUAAGAUACUUUGAUGCUCAAGUCAGACGAGGUACAAACCAAGAGCAUACAUGCAUUGUAUAUGAGUAUGAGUGUGAUAAAAUUGGAAUGAUAUGAAGUUCAUCGUACCAAGGGCAGGUGCCCCCUAUUUAUAAUGGUUGAUAUGAUGAUAGACUCCUUGUUGGUUGCAAUCUAAUUUCCUUAUCUUCAAGAUGGUUUGUUACGAGGCUAAUUUGGAUAUCAUAGUAACGAACCUCCCAGAAUCUUGUAAUUACGAGUGACACAUGUAUAUCCGAGUGUAACAUAAUCCGAGGUAGAUGUGCUCAUCUAUGCAGUUUAGAUAAGGUACGAAUAUAUAGGAUCGAUCUCGUAGCUAACUAAAUGUUUUUUAUUCUUAGAGGAGCUAAAGCGUGUAUAGGCGCUUAUGUCGGUCUAUCAAGUGGCUCUUUUUUAUCUCGUGGAAGUGUUGAUGUGUAUCAGACAUCAUUCCGAGGUGUUAGUUAUGACAAGGUGGUAUGAGAGAUUAAGUCAUAUUUUAUGCCACAUGUCACAUUUAGGUGGUAAUCUUGAUAUUCUUUGACUUGGUCCAUUUGUUAGAUCUUCCUAUGUUAUUCUUGAAGAGCUAAUUUGCUUGGACUCCUUAACGAAUGACUAGCCUGGCCUAAUUUGCUUGGAUUCCUUAAUGAAUGACUGGCUUGGACCUUUUAGGCCCAUACUGGUACAUUAUCCCCCUAGCCCUUGGUCAUGCAGUGGACAAUUGGUCUAAGAGUAUUGAAGUGAAAAUUUUUGAAUUUUAUCCGAUGUAGAUAUAUUUGAUUUUUUUGAUGAUACGAUUUUAGUUUAAACCCGAUUUAGAACUCGAUUUACAGAUGGUAUACCCCAUGACUUGCAACUUAGAGGUGAGGUGAAAGUCUAAAGGAUUUUUCAUAUGAUACUCAAUGGUUUUCUUUGCCUCAUUUCUUGAGCAUUAUGACGUGUAUUCGAAGCACGACGUGACAAUGAGACAAUUGCUUUUUUAUGGGUGCAAUUUGAUAUGUUAGAUUUGUUAAUGGAAAGUUGUAUCGUUUGAUCGUACUUGAUGAAACAUUUCCAAUCAUUGAUGAACGGUUCCAUCCAAUUUGAAUACUUGCUACUUUCUCCCCCACCACCACCACAACUUGAUUUAAGUCAUGAAGUGCUUUUGCGACUCAUAUUUCCUUAUGUUUCAAAUUUUUCAUUCAUCCCUCCAGCUGAGCUCCGUUCUUGCUUUCUCUUUAUGUUUAAACAAUGUUUGUACAAAAGCGCUUUGAUUGAUGCACUCUUCUUUGAGAAUUGGAAUGAAUUUUUGUCUGAUCCUAAUGGGUGGCACCGUUAGAGUGUUUAAGGAGAGGUUACUGUUUUUUUUUUUUUUUUGCUAAUUAGUUAUCAACAAAAAAAUUCACAUACCCUAGAUUCUUAAAACUCAUUCAACAUAUCAUUUUAUCUAUAUGUGUAUCAUCAUAUCAUUUCAUUAAUCUAUCACAUCACUCUCAAUUGUCUCUUUCACUCUUUUGGGAUGUACGUCAACUAUUAGAGUGUCCAUCAAACAUUAUUGCUUACUUAUUUGUAUAUGGAUACUCCUUUCAUAAUAAUAAUAAUAAUUAAUAAUAAUAAAGACUUUUUUCAUCAUGUGCAAAAUUGCACAUAUUAAAAUAUUUAAAAUAGAAAUUUUGUAUUGAAACUUAUACGUUUAAUAUUAAAUAUAAUUUUUUGAAUAAUAAUAUACGUUGCUCUAAAAAAGAAUGCGAAAGCAUAAAUAAAUAAAAAAACUCAAAUGGAAACAUCAACGGGUCCCAUUAAGCUCCUUAUAAUAAACGGUAGUUUUGAUGGGAUCCGAACAACCAUUAAUGCAUGCAUAUAUAUGUAGGAGUAUAUGGUAAUUGAAUGAACUUAAAAAAUCAAUUUUACUUAUAUUUAAAAAUGAAGGGAGUACCUUCAAACAUUUUAAUGCGCCUACUUAAAUCACAAGCUUGUGUUACCAAACUCGACAGUAUAUGGUAAUUCUUGCCUAUCAAAAAGGUGUGUAUAGUUCAUGCUAAGUUGGUAUCAACGGAAAUCAUUUGAAACUUUAGAGACAUUGUUUUAAAACCCACUCUGAUUCAUCAAUUCAUACUUUUUUAAUUUAAAGUAUCAUAUGUUUAUUUAAAAAAAAAAUCAUGAAAUAAAAAAAAAAAAAAAACAUAAUUCUCGAAUCCCUAAUUCCCAAUUUCUUCUACCUAAUUCCAUGAACAAUAUGAGAGUAUCACAGCACAUAUAUGAGUUUGAUUAAUUUUUCACAAUACUGGGUGUGAGGAAUUUUUCAAGCACUACCGACAAAAGAAAUAGAGAUCACUUCGUCGUUACUUUGCACAACAAUGUCUUAAUCAUUCUAGCAAAACACUCUUCAUCGCUCUCCGAUGCUACACCAACACCAUUGUGAAGGUCAAAAAAAAUUCCAAAACCCAAAUUCUACAAUUAAAAUCAUAAGAGAAUCAUUUUCUACCAAAAUCAUAACUGCUUCCAAUAACUUGAAAUUAAUCUCUAAAGCUUGAGCAUGAUGACACAAAUGGUUCAUCGUCGAGAAUAAGCUUUUAUAAUAUAACGAAACAGUUAGAAAUCUCUCUCUCUCUCUCUCUCUCUCUCUCUCUCUCUCUCAAAUUUCGGCAUGUUCAUGGAAAAGUGAUGUUUGUCAUUAGAAAGUGUACUAAAUUGUCGUUAAGUAGUAAAAUUUAUAAGUUAGUAUCGAUGUAGAUUGUGAAAUCUCAAUUUAACUACUACAAUAAUAGUUUGGAUAUAUACAAUUGGGGGGUGUUUCACUUGGCAAUGGUUGGAUUAACUGUUCUUUAAAGAAAUAGGUAAGACACUGAUUAGGUCAUGAUAGAUCUGCUUCUCUUAAUUACAUAGAAACUCACCCCCUUGAUUGCAAUUGUUCCAAUAGUUUAGUUUCACGACAUUUGAUCAAAAUAGUUAAGUUAAUUUCUAGAUCACUAAUCUUUUUCUCUUGUUACGACCCCCUAAUGUCUUAUAUGAAACUAUAUCAAUUGAAGGCUUGAUUGUAUGCCAAAUUAUUAUCACAAAGCAGUUAGCUCAAGCCCCAAAGCUAAGGUUAAUGGUCAUCGAGACCAAAAUCAGUUUAUAAACAUUCAUAAUCGGAUAAAAAAGCAUUAAAAACAAUUAUAACUGAAAGCCAAAGAGAAAGACACAUAAGCAUCCAGACAAGCCCCCCACACAGCAACUACCGGCUCAAGUAGAGAAUUGCUUCCACCACUCACUCAUAGUGAGAGCAAGGCGAACCAAGGUGGGACUUAUAAAAAAAAAGAACCAAUAACACAAAGAGAACUGGGUCUUCAGAACCAAUUCCUCCACAUCUAAAAUCUUACCGACAAACACAAAAUCAUUAAUGUAACAUGUGUCACAUUGCGUGAAUUUUGUAAAUUUUAAAUACUAAUUUUGCUUUCUACUCAUAAAAAUUGUGAACUUUAACCGAAAAAUUAUGAUAUAUUAAAAAUAUGUAUUAAGAACAGGGCCGACCCAAGCUAUAGGCAAACCAGGCAUUUGCUUAAGGCCUUGAUUUUUUAUUUUUUUUUUACCUAUUAUGCAUGGUACUUUUUUUUUUUUAGCGAAUCUCAUAUUUAUUUAUGGAAAUAAAAAAUUUAAGAGAAAUAAUACAAGUUGUCGAAUGAUAUAGCAAUUGAUUUGCUUAAUUUUAUAGAAAGACUUGGUUUUUUUCCAGAUGUGUAUAUUGGUUAUAGAAUAUAAUGUUAACAAUUCAUAUAAUUGUUGUGUCUGCAAAUUUGAAUUUGUUUUAUUGUUGAUUCAAAAAGAAAUGUUAAACUAAACCGAUUAUAAUAAUUUUGCAUCCAAAAAAAUAGAAAUCACUUUGAAUAAAAAUAUAAUUUUUGUAAAAUAAAUAUAUAAUUAAUAAUUUCUUUUUUGUACAAACUAGUAAUAACUUAAAAUGCUUCAAUUUAGAUUUCGCGUUGAGCAUCAAUAUGUGUUGGAACGGUCCUGAUUAAAAAAGUUUUAUGCUAUGUAUUUUUUUUACCAGUGAAUUAUAGAAAUCUCAUCCAUAAAUUUAAAAAGAGAGGUAAUAAGACAAGAUAACACAUUCAUCAUUUUUUGGAAAAGCUUAUCAUCAUUACAAAUACAUAGUCUGAUGCAAAUUUAUACAUGAUUUCUCCCGAAGAAAUAUCUAUCUAUACUAUAUAGUGGCAAGAUAGAUAAAUACACCAUUAUAUCAACACACAACAUUAUUUUUAUUCAUGAAAUAUAUUACUGAGAAAGAGUGCAUGGUGCAUGAAGAUAGAUAUCAUUAUGAUCAGUUUUGAGUUUUGUCCUCAGUUUGCUCGGCACCGUGACUACCGUGUCCACCUCCACCAUGGUUGUAACCACCUCAACCGUGGUGGUAACUACCUCGUCCAUGGUUGUAACUAGCUCCACCUUUGUUGAAACUACCACCUCCACCACCAUUUCUGGCAUCAUUUACUUCAUUAGUCUUUUCCUCAGUUUGCACGGCAACAGAUUCAGCAGCACCGCGACCACCAUGACCUCCUCCACGAUUGUAACCACCGUGACCUCCGUGGCCUCCACCACCAUUGUAACCACCUCCACC
rnacentral:lncRNA from 1 species